rnacentral:lncRNA from 1 species
UUUUUUUUUUUUUUGGUCGAACACUAGUCCACUAGUUUGUGUAGUUCAUAUUAGUGUGGGUAGAUUUUUUCAAGUUUCUUUGAUAAGUACUCGAUACGGCAACUUUGAGGAUUUAGCGUUAGUGCCCUUGAUAGAGAAACUUAAUAAUUCAUCACAUCAAUCUAAUGUUCAUUUGGAGUUUUUAGUGUGCGUUUGUUCUACAAAAAAUAAAUAAUUUGAAAAAUAUUCUUUUAAAAAUAAUUAUUUAUGUUGCUUACUAAAAUUAAUAAAAGAAGAAAAUAUUCAUCAUCUAUGAAAAUAUUUAAAUAUAAAUUAUAAUUGACUUAAUAAAAAAUAUUUUUUAAGAAAAUAAAUAAUUAAUAAAAAAUAUUUUCAUUGUUUUAUAUCUAAAUAUUUUAUUUAUCCAAAGUGAGCAAGAUCUUGACCCGAUUCGGCUUGGCUUGACUUGGCUGGGCUUUUCUAUCGAUAAGAGAAGUAGAAAAGAAGAUCGAAGGGCAAUUAUUGCCCAAGUGAUUUCCACUGCAUUUUGCAGAAGGUACAAGUGAUGCUUCGAUGGAAAUUUGAGAUCUAGCUCACUUGACUAGACUUGUAUUUUCUAUCAAUAAAAAAAUAUAGAAAAGAAAAUUAACGAGCAAUACUCGUUACAGGUCUCUAUCAUUAGCAAUUGGAUAAUAUGAGCUAACUAUACUACAAUAUCACGACCUUGACCAAUCACACUAUUAAAAUAUAUUAUCAUGACCAAAUGAUGAUCAAUACUUUGCCUCAAUUUACAAACGAAAAAAAGAAAAAAGACAUUAUGAUACGAUGGACAUUGUAGUUUAUGAUGAUGACAUUGUACUGAUUACAUGUUUCGUUAUGGAAAAAAAUAAACAAGAUGAUGCAUAUAACAAUAAUAAUUACAUUGUUAAAGAGAAAACGAAAUAUAUUUUAAGGAAGAAUAUGGAAUGCAACUUUCUUGCAUGGUGGAGCACAUUUAUUUUUCCUAAUGACGCUUUCUAAUAAUUUGUGGGCGUGGUUGAUGGGUAAAUCCCUCCUUGAGGAAAAAAGAAAUUGAAAUCCUAAUUAUCUACGAGGAGAAAAGUUCGUCUCUUAUUUAAGUUGUCUACACAAAUGAUAAAUAUUGGUUUAGACUCUUUUGAGGAUCAAGAAGUAUAGCAAGAAAGGAUGAAAUUAGUGAGGUCCUGGAUUUUUACUUGCUUGGGAGGUAAAUUAUCUAGAGGAAAUGAACGAAACUUCUAUUAUUUGAAUAAAUAAUGAAAAUCGGUAGGAUUUCCUCAUCAUUUGAAAAUAUAUGUGAAUAAGUCAGUAAUUUUUUUUUGUAAAUGAAAGAUUGAUGAAAGAAAAAAGGACAAAUUUCUAAUUCUCCUUUUCGGUGCAACCCAUCGUCAAAGCUAUGAGCCAAUCAGCAAACCAUCGUCAUGAAAUGCUAUUGCAAUCUAUUUUCUUUUUAUUUAUUUAUUAAAUUUAGUUGGUGGAGAAUAUGCACCUUCUGCAUGAUACGGCGGAAAUAUUAAUCCAACGAGCGGAUGUUUUUUCGAUUGACUCGUGUACAAUAGUGCCGGGGGCACGGGAGCAUUGCUAUGCUGGUUAGUUUUCUUUUCUAUUUUUCUUAUUAACAGAAAAAAGCAAAGUCAAGUCAAGAACCACCAGCACAGGAUGGCUCCAUCCACCUUCUACAAACUGCUGUGGAAAUUACGCGUGCAGUGAUUGCCUGUGGAAAUUAGACGGUGGAGAUUCGAUCGUUGGUUUUCGUUUCUAUUUUCUUUAUUAGCAGAAAAGGCUUGUCAAGUCAAGAAGUGGUCCCUGUUACCUUCUGCAAAAAUGCAGUGGAAAUUAAUGAUUGCCCUUUGGUUUUCUUUUUUUUUUGUUGGUAAAAGUAAGAAAUCCUUUAGUUUAUUUAUUUAUUUAUUUCUCUUAUUGAUAUAAAAGGCAAGACAAGUCAAGUGAAAGUCUUGCUCGCUUUGAAAAAAAGAAAAAUAUAUAAAUAUAAAUUAUCAUUGAUAAGUAAAAUAUUUCUUAUUAAUUAAUUAUUUUAAAUGAUACAAAUAAUAAUUUUUAAGAAAAUAAUUCAAAUGAUAGUGCAAUCGGGUCCUUAAUGUGAGUGAAAAUAUUUUAAUUACAUUCGAUUAAGGAAUGUCAAAUUGAGAGUGCGGCAAAAAUUAAAGAACGUAAAUGAAAAGACAAAAUAUGAAUUCCCUCUCAACAGAUCCGUGGUAUCUUAGCGUUUUUGGUAGUAUUUCUUUAAUCACAAUCGGUCUUGGGCAAGGAUUUCUAGGCUCAAUUUGCCCAUUGAUCUUCUACUGUUUGAAAUUUGAUCAUGCAAAGUGUUUGGUGAGAUCAGUGAUGGAUUUUACUCACGUUAAGGUAAAGACAAAUUACCUUAUUCGAAAAAAAAAUGUUUGCAUAUUUGAAGACCACAACGUUUGAAACACACCUACAUAAUAUAUUAGGAUAUUAGAUUCCUAUGCAUAGAAUGAAAGACAUGAUCAGUCAACAGCCUAAAAAUACCACAAAACAUAUUAUAAAUGAAUUUUGAGCCUUAUCUUGUGAUAAUUGUGUCUCUCGUUUCAUUGGGUGUUCAAGAUUCCAUCCUUAUCUUUGGUCCAUCGUACGUGUUUCGCACUAGUCCACUAGUUUGUGUGGUUCAUAUUAGUGUGGGUAGAUUUUUUCAAGUUUCUUUGAUAAGUACUCGAUACGGCAACUUCAAGGAUUUAGCGUUAGGACCCUUGAUAGAGAAACUUAAUAAUUCAUCACACCAAUCUAAUGUUCGUUUGGAGUUUUUAGCGUGCGUUUGUUCUACAAAAAAUAAAUAAUUUUAAAAAUAAUUAUUUAUGUUGCUUACUAAAAUUAAUAAAAGAAGAAAAUAUUUAUCAUUUACGAAAAUAUUUAAAUAUAAAUUAUAAUUGACUUAAUAAAGAAUAUUUUCAAGAAAAUAUUUUUAAAAAAUAAAUAAUUAAUAAAAAAUAUUUUAAUUGUUAAUGAUAUUUUAUAUCUAAAUAUUUUAUUUAUCCAAAGUGAGCAAAAUCUUGACCCGAUUCCGCUUGACUUGACUUGACUGGGCUUUUCUAUGGAUAAGAGAAGUAGAAAAGAAGAUCGAAGGGCAAUUAUUGCCCGCGUGGUUUCCACUGCAUUUUGCAGAAGGUGCGGGGACCAUCCUAUGCUUUUUGACUUGACUUGCUUUUUCUACUAAUAAAUAAAUAGAAAUGAAAACCGACUAUUAAUUCUCACCAAAACUAACUUCCACGCGGGCGAUCGAUGUACGCACAAGAAAUUUGCAGGAGGUGCGUGGAACAAUCCCAUGCCAGUACUUCAUGACUUGACUUUGCUCUUUCCUGUUAAUAAGAGAAAUAGAAAAGAAAACUAACUAGCAGAGCAAUACUCCCGUGCUCCAAUGCCAAUAUACACGAGUCAAUCACGAAAACAUCACUCCCUGGAUUAUCACUUCCGCGGCAUAAUGCGAAAGGUGCGUAUUCUCUACCAACUAAUUUUAAUAAAUAAAUAAAUUAGAUUACAAGAGCCUUUAAUGAUAAUGAUAUACUUAUUGGCAUAUAAUUUUGAAGAAAAUACCUAUUUUAUCAGAAAAUCAGAAUACAAACCCUUAAAUUUGUACGUAGAGCCACGUCUUUUCUGCUCUUUAAUGGCUUUUGAAAAUUAGACGUGAAAAUUUUACUAAAAAUGGGAAUCGGAGGAGACUCCAGAUCCUAGUUUGAAUGGAGUCACGAGCAUAUUAGCACAUUUAUUAUAGUAACAAUUCUGAAGAAUUUACUAUAUGGAUAUUAUAUUAUGGAGAUAAUUAAAAAUUGAUUUAUAGUAACUAUGGGAAGAUUUUUUGGUCCUUGCUUGAGCAAGUUGGAUGAUUAUGACAAUCUUAUUUGCACAAUCAACAACUAAUCGAGUUUUUACAUUACGUUAAAUUCAUCUCGUGACAUAAACGAGAUAAUUUUAAUUAACCUUCUUUUUCCUUUUCACAGGCUCCCAAGGCCUUGUAGUUGGCCCCUCCUAAGUUGUUGGAAUCUUGGGUUCAUAUUUGGGAAUACAUGUUAAUACCACACUAUCUCGGCGCAAAUCUUGUGCAACAACACGUGAUCAAUUAAAUCCAUAGAUCUGAAGCUUUGAGCAAGUGCAUGUGAAGCUUUUAUUGAAAUUCGAGAUCCAACACACUUGACUGGACUUGCAUUUUUAAUUAAUAAUAAAACAUAGAAAAGAAAGUUAACGAGCAAUACUCGUUAUAGGUCACUGUCUUUAGUGAUUGGAUAGUAUAAACUAAGUAAACUACAAUGUCACGACCUUAACUAAUUACAUUGUCAUAAUAUGAACUAACUAUACCAAAUGGUUACUGUUUGUUUCCUAAGUAGAAUAACAUUUGUUAAGAUGUUUAAUACACUACCUCAAUUUACAAAACACAAAAUAAGACAUGUUAAUGUGGUGGGCAAUGUAGUUCAUGAGGACGACAGUGCACUGGUUAUGCGCUCCGUUAAAAUGAAAGAAAAUGUUGUUUGCUAAUAAGUAAUUUCCGUGGCAUUAUACGGAAGGUGUGGGGAACCUAUGCACGUGCCAACACGACUUGAUUAUAAAAUCGGGGCGUGGAAACUAUCUUUUACUAAUACUGGAGUGCCCAUGGGGCUUUCGUUUUCCUUCGUCUCUUCUGGCAACAGCUUCAUGGAUUGAUACAUUUGCAAUAAUAUUCCGAAACACUUGAGCGCUUGUUGGGUUUUGUCGUUUUUUAUCGCUCAUUUAUUUAUUAGAUAGGGUAUUUGUUACUGUCAUUGUUAUUAUAAUCACUUAAACAAUUUUACAUUUGAGUAUUACACUAAAUAUCUUAGCCAUUAGUAUGUGUAUAUAUCUUUAAUAAAGAAGGUACUGCAAAUGAAGCGAUCUUGAGGUAUUGUCCAACAUUUUAGCCAUUCUGCUUUGUUGGAAUGUAAGAGCUGUUCUCUCUCUUAAUAUUCAUGAUCCAAUAAAUAUAAAUCCUCCUCAUAUUAAUGAAAAAAAAUGGAGAAGAACAACUCAUACUCGUUAUAGUUGUUUAUCAUCGGUGAUUGGAUAUUAUGAACCAACUAUACUACAAAAUCAUGACCUAGACCAAUUAUUUUGCUAUAUAAUAUUGCAUCAUAACCAAUUGUUUUAUCCUAUGUAGAAUCUAUUUUGUUAGCAUCUUUAUGUACUGCCUCAAAUUACAAAUGGAAAAAAAAAGUGAUAAAUAGUGGAUAUUGUAGUUCACAAGUAUGACAUUUUACCGGUUAUGUGUUUCAUUAUGGAAAAAAUAAGCAAGUAUAUGCACAUAAUAAAGAUCAAAUAGCAAGGAGAAAGCAAAAUAAAGUUUAGGGAAGAAUAUGAAAUGCAAUUUCUUUCAUGUUAUAAAGUUCAUUUUUUCUCCUAAUGGUGCUUUUACUAAUUAGUGCAUGUGAUCAAUGGAUAAACCCCUCCCUGAAAAAAAAAUUGGAACAAAGGAUAUAAUAAGGGCAGAGGGAAUUUUAUAAAUUGUUUAUGUCAUCGAGAGAAAAGAUACAUGCUCAAAGUUUCUCGAGGAUUGAGAAGUGUAGCAACUAAUGAUGAAAUUAGUGAGGUGUUAGACUUUUACUAGCUUGAAAGUUAAAAUAUUUGAAAUAAAUGAUCUGACCUUCCAUUAUUAGAAAUAAAUAAAGGAAAUUUAUCUAUCUAGCUAGGGUUCCCUCUUCAUACCAAAAUAUAAUAUAAUUAUUAGUGAAUAUUUGUGCAAAGUCCAUAAUUACCUAUUACUCUAUCAAAAUGUGCAUUGCAGCUUUUAUAUUGUAUUUUAGCGUAUACUUCACAGUUAAAAUACAUCUAAAGUUACUACAGUUUAAAGUGUUACAAUUGUAAAAUAUACUUAUCAAACACAAAUAUUACAACACUCACAGUACAGUACAAUUACGUUUUAAUUACAGCUAUACCAAUGUAAUCGGGACGGGAAAAAAAAUUGAUUAGUCAUUUGUGUUGUCUAGAGGAAAUAUAUAUGUUCGCCCACUGCUGUGAUCUCCACCAAUCUUCAGCCUCCGACGUUGGAUACGCAAACCUCUCUACUAUGCGUGCUUGAUCAACGCUGAGCAACGUAGAACCGUGUGGAAGGUGUUUUGAUUUAAAGUGAGCACGACCUUACCUUGACUUGACUUGAAUUGCCUUUUUUUAUUAAUAAAGAAAUAGAGAAGAAAACCAAACGAUAAUCAUUGCACGCGUAAUUUCCGCAGCAUUUUGCGGAAGGCACGUGGAACCAUCCUAUGCAAGUACUUCUUGAUUUUUCUUUUUGGUCAGACAAGUGCUUCUUGACUUGACGUGCUUUUUUUCUAUUAAUAAAACAGAAGGAAAAGAAAGUAACCAGCAGGACUCCCGUGCUCCUGGUUCUAAUAGACAUGAGUCAAUCACAAAAACAUAUCAUGACAUGAAUGUCGGUAGGAUACUUUGUUAGGAUAUUCGAAUCAGUAAAGUUCAUUAUUUUCGAUCCAAAAUCUACUUUUUUUCUCUUUAAAAAGAGAUUCCUCCAGAAAAGCACAAAUGCUGAGUUGCCAUCCAAGGGUCUACGCGUGCUGCUUGGAAAGGAUAAUUAUUGCACGCAUAAUUUCCACAGCAUCGUGCGGAAGACUUGAUGCUUUUUCUAUUAAUAAAGAAAUAGAAACGAAAACCAAUGAUCAAUUCCAAUGCUCCGAGUGGGCAGUGCUUAUAAUGAACAUGGUUCAUCGGAUACGGAUCUAGGCAAGUAUUCCCUCCUCCUCCUCAUGGCAUUGCAGGAGGUAAGGAAUGAUGUUUGGAAUAAGUGAGUUCUAGUAGUUUCGGACUUAAAUGUGGACAAAUUUUGGAGGGUGCGAUGUUGCUGGUGUCGAAGAACAAUAAUUUAAGUCUCCAGUUUAAGAGGCUAUCUGGCAUCACUUCCUAUAGUAAUUUCCACCGUGAAAACGUGUAUUGCAACUUUAUAAUGUGUUUUGCUGAAUAAUUCAUAGCUGCAGCACCUCUAAACUUACAAUCGUUUUUAGGAAGGCGUCUCACCUAUGUUCAAGUGUUACAACUAUAAAAUAUGUUGUAUCAUCAAAAAAAAAAAUUGUGAAUUAAAAAAAGAAUUGCAACAAUUCACAAUAGAGCAGUUACGUUUCAAUUAUAGCUCUACCGAUGUACUCGGGACAGAAAAAAAAAAAUUAUCAGUCAUUUAUGUUGUCUAGAGGAAAUAUAAAUGUUCACCCACUACCGUGACCUUCACCGACUCUCAGCCUUCAACGUUGGAUACACGACACUCUAAAGUAUACGUGCUUGAACAAUGCUCAGCCCCGUAGCACUGUGCAGAAGGUGCGUAGAAGCGGCAUGGGCGUAUCGAUUGAAAUGGAGCACGACCUCAACUUGACUUUGCCUUUUCUGCCAAUAAAGAUAUAGAAAAGAAAAUCAAAGGGCAAUCAUUGCACGCGUAAUUUCCGCAGCAUCUUAUUAAGGUGCGUGGAACCAUCCUAUACAUGUGCUUCUUGACUUGACUUGCUUUUUUCUAUUAAUAAAAGAAAAAGAAAAGAAAAUUAACGAACAAUACUCCCCUGCUUUUGGUGCACAUAGACAUGAGACGAUCACAAAAACAUAAUAUGACAUAAAUGUCAGUAAGACACUUCGUUUAGACAUUCGAAUCAAGAAAGUUAAUUAUUUCCAAUCCAAAAUCUUACAUUUUUUUUUUCAAAGGAGAUUCCUCCAAAAAGAGCACAUGAUGUUGAGUUGCCAUCCAAUAGUUCGAGAUGCAUACUGCAUUAAAACGAUAAUUAUUACAAGUGUAAUUUCGGCGGCAUUAUGAGAAAGGUGCAUGUGCUUUUUGACUUGACUUGCUUUUUCUUAAUAAAGAAAUAAAAAACGAAAAACAACCGUCAAUUCUGACGCUUCGAGUCAAUAGGCAUAUUUUCGAUCAACUAAUUCAAUUAAAAAGCAGAUUGCGGUAACCCCUACUCACUCUUUGCAAGAUGGAUGUGCAAGGUCAAUGUCCGAUCAGACUUGAUAUCACGAAGGUCCCCUACUCAGGCAUGUUAGCGCCUAUAGUUAUGAAGAGGAGACCUAUUUAAUCAGAAAAUCGUAAGAUAGACCACUAAAUUCAUGCAUGGAGUCAUGUUGUUACAUGUUGUUUAAGGUCGAUUCAAGAUAUGAUGCGGAUAAUUUACCAGAGAUUGGAAUUAGGUGAGACCCUAUAUCCCAAAUUUGAAUGGAGCUACAAGUAAUUAGCACACAUAAUAUAUUAACGAGUCUUGAAGAAUCUAUAGUAUAUGAAUAUUGGAUUAUCAUGAUAAUUAAAAAUCGAUCGAUAGUAUAUAUGGGAAGGUUUGUUUGUCCUUACUUGGGCAAGUUGGAUGAUUAUGAUGAUAGUAUUUGCACAAUCAACAACUAGUUGAGUUGAUGCAUUAUGCUAAAUCCAUCUCAUUCUAUAAAUGAGAUGAUUCUAUUCGAUCAUUUUUUUUUUCCUUUUCAUAUACUCCCUUUACUCCAUAGUGGGUGGAACCAUGAGCGUUAAGGCCUUAUCACUUUUGCACAAACCUUAAAUAAUCCAAACUUCAUAAUUGGCAUCUUGCAAUAACAUGUGAACAAUGAAAUCCAUAGGUGUGAAACUUCUAGCAAGUGCAGUUGAAGCUUUGAUUGAAAUUGUAGUACAGCACGCUUGGCUUGAUUUGCUUUUUUAUUAAUAAAAGAAAAUAGAAAAGAAAACUAACGAUUGUACUCAAUAAAGUUGUUUGUAACUUAGUGAUUGGAAAUUGUGAACCAACUAAACGACAAUAUGAUGACUUAGACUUGCCUUUUCAUUUAAUACGAGUAUAGAAAAAGAAAACCAAAGGGGUAUCAUUGCAAGCGUAAUUUCAGUAGCAUUUUGCGGAAGGUGCGUGAAAACAUCCAACGUAGCUUCUUGACUUGACUUGCUUUUCUAUUAAUAAGAAAAAAAGAAAAAAAGAAGAAGAAGAGAAAGUAACUAGCAGUAUUCCCGUAGUUUUGGACUCCUGGUGAGAAUAUCCACGAAUCAAUCACAAAAAUAUCACUAGUUUGAUUAUUAUUUUCAAAGCACAAUCUGACUUUUUUCUUUCUAAAGAGACUAGGAAAAGGAAAUCCCGAAAUAAAUCUUCCUUGAUUCUCAAAAUUUUCUCCAUACCAUAUCAAGUCUAAAAAUUAUGUAGUCAUUAUCCCCUCACCUAAUGCAUUUUUAUAUCACUCCUUAAAUUAUUUUUAUUUUGGACAGUUUACAUAACUUUUAUACUUCAAUGCCACAUUUACAAUUUCUCUCCUAAUAGGUUAUUAGCAAUUGGACAAAUAUUAAGGGAUACAUUUUUCCUUUUCAUUCAUUUUUGUCGAACUUUUUAUCUCAUGUUGACACACUUUUUCUUCUUAACUGUUAAGUAAAGGUUAUCACUUAUUCAUCUAAAGGUGUUUGUCAUUAGUGAUUGGAUAUUAUGAACCGGUGAUAUUACAAUAACAUGACUUUGACGAAUUAUAUUGUUUUAUAGUAUUGCAUCAUCGGCAACUACUUUUAUUUUUUUUUCCUAAGUAGAGUCUUAAAAAAGAGAGAGAGAGAGACUUGUGCUAAUAUCGUGGACAUUGUAGCCCACAAAGAUGACUGUUUACUGGUUACGUGUUGCCUUGUGGACAUUGUAGCCCACAAGGAUGACUGUUUACUGGUUACGUGUUGCCUUGUGGAAGAACUAAACAAGCAUAUGCAUAAAGUAAAGAUUCGAUAGCAAAGAUAAAUAAUAUAUAUAUAUAUAUAUAUAUAUAUAUUUUUUUUUUCAGGGAAAAAUAUGAUUGCAAUUUUUUCACAUUGUAAAGCUUUUUUUUUUUUUUUUUGCCUAAUGAUGCAUUCAAUAAUUGGUGGGCUUGCUUGAUGGAUAAAUACCUCCCUGAAAAAAUUGAAAUCCAGUAUAUAAUUCGGGCAAAAAAAAAUGUCAAUUAUUUCUGCUAUUUAGAGAAAAGAUAAACGUUCGUCCAAAGUUUUUUAAGGAUUGAGAACUCUAGUAGCAAAGAUGGAAUUAGUGAGGUCCUAGACUUUUUACUUAUAUGGAAGGCAAAAUAUUUAGAGUGAAUGAACCAAAGAUUCAUUAUUAGAAUGAAUAAUGAAAAUUUGUCAACAUAGGUAAGGUUUCCUCUUCAUCCGUAACGAUAUGAAUGGGGUAGUCAUUUGUUUAGAUUGAAAAUGUCCAAGCAUUGAAAAAUGGAUUGGGCCUAUAUGUUCAGAGCCCAUAAUGCGCCAUCCAACUGUCCAAGACACAUGCUGCACGCAGAAGACGAUCAUUGCACGCCCAAUUUCCGCGGCAUUAUGCGGAAGGUCCGUAUUCUCCACUGACAAAUUUAAUAAUAGCAGAUUGCGAUAGCACCUACACAAAAUGAUAUGCGUAUUAGCAUGUAGUUGAGAAUAAAAGACCUAUUUUAUCAGAAAAUCAGAAGCCGGCCAUCAAAUUCAUGCGUAGAGCCACCUCCUUUCCACAGACGGGAACUGGGAGAGACUGUAACCCAAUUUGGAUGGAGCUACAACCAUGUUAGCACAUUUAAUAUAUUAGAAAUUCUGGAGAAUUUACAGUAAAUAAAUAUUGGAUUAUCGAGGCAAUUAAGAAUUGAUUGUUAGUAAAUAUAUCAAGAUUUAUUUUUUUUGUCCUCACUUCGGCAAGUUGGACAAUUAUGACGAUCUUUUUGCACAAUCAACAACUAAUUGAGUUACUAUGUUAUGUUAAAUCCAUCUCAUGAUGUAAACAAGAUGAUUUUGAUCUCACUUUUCUAAAUCUUUUCAGACUCACAAGGCAUUGUAGUUGGCUCCUCCGGAGCGUAUGGAUUUGGGUUGAUACUUGGGAAUACAUGUUAAUGUCAUACCAUCUCUGCACAAACCUUAAAUAAUCUGAACUUUACGAUUGACAUCUUAUGACAAAUGUGACUAAUGAAAUCCAUAGAUCUAAAGCUUCAAGCAACUGCAUGUGGAGUUUCGGUUAAAAUUUGAGAUACAACACACUUGACUAGUCUUGCAUUUUCUAUCAAUAACAAAAUAUAGUAAGAAAUUUAACAAGCAAUACUUGUUACAGAUCUUUGUCAUUAGUGAUUGGAUAGUAUCAUACUAUGAACUAACUAUAUUACGAUAUCACAACCUUGAACAAUAACACUGUAACCAAAUGAUUUUCGUUUAUUUCCUGAGUAAAAUAAAUUUUGUUGAGAUGUUUAAUACAAUACCUCAAUUUACAAACGAAAAAAGAAAAAGAAAAAAAGAAACGUAAUAAGACAUGAUAACACAGUGGACAUUGUAGGUUAUGAGGACGCCGAUGUAUUGUUUACACGCUUUGUUAUGAAAGAAAUAAAUAAGAAGAUGUACAUGAUAAUAAUGAUUACAUGGUGAAAGAUAAAAUGAAGUAUAUUUUAGGGAAGAAUAUGGAAUGUGACUUUCUUGCAUGGUAGAGUGUAUUUAUUUUUUACUAACGGUGCUUUUAGUAAUCGGUGGGCGUGCUUAAUGGAUCAAUCUCUCCAAGAGAAAUUUAAGAAAAAAGAAGAAGUUGACAUCCUAGAUGUAAUCUAGGCAAAGAAAAGUUUGUCAGUCAUCUAUAUUGUCUAGAUAAACGAUAAAUACUGAUUCAGACUCUUUUGAGAAUUAAAAAGUGUAGUAAGAAAGGAUGAAAUUAGUGAGGCCCUGGAUUUUUACUUGCUCGGAAGGAAAAAUAUUUAGAGUGAAUGAACCAAACUUCCAUUAUUUGAAUGGAAAAAUGGAAUUGGUGGGGCUUCCUCAUUUUCUGGAAAUAUAUACGAAUGAGUUAGUAAUUUAUUAUGAUUAAAGAAAGAUGGAUGAGGGUCUAUAUGUACAAAGCCCAUCAUAUUGAGACUUCCUUUGCGUGUUCUUUCAAUAUUGCAUCUUCUUUCAACUAGAAUGGACUAUUUUUUUCCCAUUCCCACCCAAGACUAAUCGUUUAUUGGUUUAUGAAAUGAUGAUACAUCACUUUAGUCAUUGAAAUCAUGAUGCGUCACUUUGAAAAUUAAAUAAGUGAUUAAAAUUAUUUGCACUUGUAAACACUCAUGUAGUCGAGUAGGGAACUAUUAUUUACUUUUCCGACAAAAGUGGUUGUCUCAUGGAAAAUUGCUUUUGUUCUAUCAUUUGGAUUUUUUUAAAUUUUUUUUUUUCAGUUGGAAAAGUACAUUCAUUCCUUAAAUCAAAAAGGCUUUACUAGAGCAAGUCAAGGAAAUUCUUAUGCAAUAUUCCAAAGUGGUCGACGGGGCAAAGACAACCAGUUGGUGGGGAGAGCCCUGUUUCAGUGAGCCCUGGCGGUCAAAUCCAUAACUUGAUUAGCCUCGCGAGGCAAUAGACAACUUUCUCUGGGCUUUCUUCUUGGCCCAUGAAGCACUCCACAAUUGUAAGGCAGUCACUAGAUAUCACAAAGGACAGGUCCCUCUCCAUGUGCAGGGCAGAUGAGACACAGUCCUUGCUCUCACGUGCUAGAUUCUCUUCCUCUGCAAGAACAGAAGGCAUUCUUUUACGGCUAAGGCUUCCAUGUUUAUUUGGUAAUGGAGUAGAAACUUGCGGUUAGUCAAUUUAUUUAAUCGGAACGAGUUCAAUAAAUUAUUGAAGGCAUCGGCUUCAAAUAAGUUCAAUGCAUCAUGAUUAUUAGAUCAUGUGGAUCUCAUGUAUGAUAUACCAAAAUUAAUUGAGGUCUCAGCUUAUUAAUUCAUGAUUUCAUGUUUCAUAAUCUUGCUUUUUUUGUACAUAGGACGAGAUCUGUCAAGGUAUGCUUUAAGCAUGUGAUACAAUUUUGUUGAAAAUUUGAAUCAUGGAAUAUAUUGCUUCAGGGACCAAACGAGGACAAUCACGUCCAGAUACAAAAAGUGUUAUUUCCUUUGCCCAAGUGCAUGCUUCUAAAAAAUGUGAAAAUCUUAUACUUAGACAUGCCCGAACGAAUCAACUUACUUUGGGACCAUACGGUGAUUGAUGUACUAAUUUAGGUAAUUCGGUCAAAUUAAGGUUCACAAUUUCGAAGAAAAGUAAGUAACUUAAUGCGUUAAUAAUCCAUCAAAAUAAUGUUGGUUGAUUAUUAAUGUAGUCGAUAGUUUUUGAAGUAUAAAUAGAUGUCGGUACUUUUUUAAAACCCGUUGAUAAGAAACUGACAUAUGAUAAGUUAAGCAAUCUUACCGAUUUUUUUUUUUUUUGGGUUCAUAACGGCAUGUGCCAUGUUAAAUUAUGUAUCAAGUUACGAAACUGACUUGUUCAAAUGAUUUUAAUAAUUCAAAUUCUGUGUGCCCUUUAAUCCAAAUCAAAUUUGUAUUUCUUGUGCGGUGGCUUCUUUGGAUAAUUGAAGGUUUGUUGUACCGUUGGAAAUAUAUCUCAAGAUCCGACCACCACGAUUGGUGUCUUCUUUCAUCUAAGUUUGACCGGUUGAUCAAGAAGUGGAUGCCUUCUUCAAUACGAAAGUCGGACAAGUAAGGGGACAGCGUAUGGGGGCCAAAUAAAGAGAGAGAAAGAAAAAUGAAGUAGGAAAAAAAUGACAACAUGACAGUCACCGACGAUGUGGAAAGAUGUACCUGCAUAAGACUUUGCUUUUGCACGGGACGCUAGCAACUCUGCGGAGGUACUAAGCAUCGCCAUCGUGGUGGCGACCGGCAGAUGUGGAAACCGAUGGCGGAGAAAAGAGAGAGGAUCGGAAAUGAAAAAAUAAAAGGAAUAUUUUCCUUUGCUUUAAAUUGAGUUUGCAUAAUUUUCGUUUAGUGUGCUACCAUGUCAGCAAUUGUGUAAAUAACGAAGCCAUUUCGGGUAAAAAAAAGACAUGACCUGGCAAUAAUAGUAGAGACACCACGUUGAACAUCAAGAAAGUAAUACUUCAUUAUAUGAAAAGAAAGUUCAGUCACUUAAUUACUUGUUGAGCAAAAAUACAAAUCCUUAUUGGGUCAUUUUCCUAAAAAGAGAAUUUUUUAUUUUACUAAAAUGUGGCACGAGCCUUAACUUUUGAUCCAAAGUGAAAGUUUCUGAAAACCUAGCAUGGUAAGGAAGAGAUAGAGUUUAAAACAAAUUAAUCGAAUUAUGAAGUCUCAUAUAGAGGGCUCAUGUGAGAUCUAUGAUCAAUGGCUGUAAUGAAUGUGAUUCACUUAAUGUGGAUCUAAGCAAGUAUUUCCUCACACUCCUCGUGACACUGCAAGAGAGGAGAAAUGAGGUUUAAAAUAAGUAAGUUCUAGCAAUUUUAGACUUAAUAAUAGAUAAGUUUAAGAAGGCACGAUGGCGUUGUAUCUAGGAACAAUAAUUUAGGUCCCCGAUUCAAGAGGCUAUUUGGUAUCGCUUCCUUGCAACAGAUUUUGCUAUGAAGAUGUGUAUUGUAGCUUUUAUAAUGUAAUUGGUGAAAACUUUACAGCCGCACCACAACUAAAGUUACCACAGUUUUAUCAAAGUUAUCUUAUUCAACUUUCAGAUGUUAUUGGGAUAAAGUACAUUUUAUUAAACAACAAAAUUGUAACACUUCACAAUACAGUAAAGUUGCAUUUCAACUACAGCUAUACCAAAUGAGAUCUGAUUCCCUUCAAACUCUCUAAUCGAGAACCUCUCCUAAAAAAAGGGGGGAAACCCAAUCUCUGUCCGAUUUUUAAGUGGAACAAAUUCCAAUUUAUGUUGAAAUGCCAGAAAAAAAAAUGUCCAAGCUAGUUUCACUUCGCUAUUGAUUAUGCAAAAUUGUUGAGGUUGAACUUGCUAUACACGAAUCAAAUCAAGGCACUCUCAGAUUACACUUCCAGCUUCUCCAUUCAUUUUGCAGUUUCAGCUUUUCCAUUCGUUUAAAGUGCGAUGGCAAUAUAGGCUCGUGAUGAGAAAUAAUAAUCUUCUGUGCGUAGUACAUGAGGAAGGGUAAUUGGAAUGCAGAUCAGCUCACAAAAGGCUCAUUCUCAUGCUCCUACCUGCUCGUGUUCAUGCGGCUCAACACACUAUAGAAGCUCGAGGCGUAAGCGGCUUCGGUCCCCGGCGGAACUGUCUGAGAAUAUUCCCCACUGGACCAGUCAUUCUGUCCCUAACCGCUCUAAAAAAAGACAACUUAAUUCUGAAAGGUUGCAGUCUAAUAAGCACUGAGAAAACAAACGGAGAGUCAGUUUCAUUCUUGGCAACUAUGGCAUAUACUCGUAAUCAUGUCUAAAGAUUGAAAAACCAAACAAUAUCAAGUGAACAUCACUAAUGUGCUUUCAAAUCGGACGAUUACUGGAAUCAAUUCACAACAGGGUCUCAGACACAUUUCAUCGAACAGAUUAUGGUCAAUCGGUUGUGGAACAGAUCAAAGCCAUUUCGAACUCGAAUUUACAACUAGACUCAACCUAAAUCAGUACAUGAUGUUCGAAGUCAAAGAAAAAAAAUUCAAAUAUGAUCAAUUUCAUCAUAAUAAGAGAAUCAGACUCUCGGCCUCUUACUCGUGACAACAGAACAGGAGAUGCUACCUGCUUAAUCAAGUGGACUGAGGCCGCGGUUUGGCGUACGAAUCGCUGAAAGAAGCUCUAGAACGUGUCGAUGAUCGAAACCUGAACAGGUGGAGAAGCUUCGAGCGGAACGACAACAUUCCGAAGCUCUCGGCCGCGGAAGGGAAACGAAGGAGAUGAGUCGCGGCAUUGAAGAGGCUGUUGAUGCCGGCGACGGCCACUGUGAUCGAUUCAGGGCGCUUGAAAUCGCCAACUGAAUCGAACGGAAUCGUUUUUUUGAGAUGAAUUUUCCUUGCUCGAUUUUUUUUUUUUUUUUUGGGUUCUGGAAUGUUGCUAUCGAUGAAAUGAACAAACGUGUUCCUCCUAAGACUGAUGGUCGACGGCGCAACCAACGAAGGAGUUGGAACUCGUAAUGAUCGGCGAUGGUAGCUAGCGGCUAUAUCGGAACUUGAGAUACCGCGACGAAAGGUUAUCCAAUGGUGACUGGAGACGAUGGAAGAUGGAGCAAUUUUCCCCUGCUUCCUCCCUUCUGCGUGCGCGAGUUAUCCCUUAGUGAAUGGCGUUUUGCUUCUUCUUCUUCAUGAUCGAACACUUCCGUUGACGUUUUUGUUGAGUUCUGACUUAUUAUACCUCUUAGAAAUACUUCUUUUACCAAAUUGCCUCCCAAUGCCAUUGCCCGUCUCCUUUUUAUAAUUCUUUGCUUGAAGGUUAAUUCAACUCUCAUAGCAAUUGCUAUACAAUUGAUUCAUAUUAUGAUUAUCUAAAAAGGUAUGAAUGAUUUGGGAAAGAGUAAAGAUAAAUAAUGUUAGGUGCACGAAGAGCCUUUUUUUUAUUUUUUAUAAGAGACUAUCCGGUAAGCUUUCCUGCAGUAACUUCAGCUAUAGAGGAUGGGUGAUGUAGCUUUUGUAAGGCGUUUGACAAAUAUUUCGCACUUAUAGCCCCUUCAAGAUUAUCACAGCUUUUUGGGAAAUUGCUUUGCCCAAUUUUGAGACGUUGGAGCUAUUGUUUACACAUGAUUUUUAAUUGAUAACUUAAGCAAAAUCGGCAAUUUAGGUGGCUUUUAUUAAAAAAAAUGAAUAAAUAAAACACAAAAUGAAAAUAAUAAUGACAUAAGAGGAACUUCAAUUCAUCAACUAAUUGGAAAGGAUAUUCAUUCAGUGUGCUAGGCGCGAUCCAAUUCAUCCAAGCCAAGCCCAUGGCCCAUCCACAUUUGUUAAGUUUAUCCAGCUUUCAUUACUCGGACCCAUAAAAGCCCAGAAACCGCACUUUCAGAUAUUCUUCGUGCAAGCUUGACCAGUAACCGCAAUCGGGAACUCCCCCUUGACAAGGUGAUUUAAUUUCCUAUCCUGUUUUGGAAAGAUGCAUAACUGAACCACGUUCAUGUAAUUCGUGAAUGUCACUGAUGAUCUAGGCUGUAAUUUGAUGAUUUGUAAUGGUUUUGAGGUUCCGACACUGAUUUUAGACGAAAACACUGCUUCAAUUUAAUGAAUAGAUUCAAUCCAUUUGGUGCACAGACUAUCUGAUGUAAUGUCUCUAUGGUACGUCAGUGAAAUAAUUCCUGAUCUAAUUCAGUCUAAUAAAAUUUCAGCACAGACUACUACUACCAACCAGUCCCGUUAGCAUUCAAAUUCAAUUCUUCUUAUACAAAUAAAUGAAGAGAUAUAAUGCUCAUGUCAUGUGGAUAACGUAUUGAACUUCGAAUGAGCUGGUGGAUUCUCGUUUGCUCUGAAGAGGACGAUCGGCUGAAAGAAGAAUAAAUAAUAAUAAUAAUUGACGAAAGAUGUAAGAAAAGAGGAAAAAAUUGAUAAAAAAAAAAAUAAUAAGAUAGGGUUGGCGUGGGCUUAGGGUUUAAUCUAUUUGUAAUAGAAAUUGGGCUUAAAGAUGGACUUGGUGCAGUUGGAGGAGAAAGUGAGCUAGAGUAGCUUCCAUGGGUAAAUGGGCUUAAAAUAGGUAUAAUCUGAAUUGGGCUUAGUAGAGUUGGAAUUGGAUGGAUUUGGAUGUAAUAGCCCGAAUUUUGCCCAUUAACCCAGAUUUGUGAGACCAGUAUGCGGCUCAUAUCCAGACCAGGCCCAAGGGCCCGGCCCGAGUCCCUAUUUUCAGAAAAUAAUUAAAAUUAAAUCUAAAAAAAAAUCGAAAAUAUGAAAAAUUGGAAAAUGGUUAGUAACAGAGACCUUGAUUAGGUCGUUAAGUUUUAGUGCUAGAUUUAGCUUAGUUUCUUCCAGUUUUAGUUACUCUACAUAUAGUUUAGAGAUUUUAAUGAGUACCUUUGAUUUAGGUGAGGUUACAUAGAAUAGUGUUUGAGAAAAGGAAUUGGACUUAAUUUGAAUUUAGCUUACGGGGUUGUUGUCUUGAGGCUUAAAAACAAAGCCAUGUGUAUUCUUCGCUCGGCACUUCAUUAGGUGUAUUUUCUUAUAUGUUACUUUUGUCGAAUUAAUCAUGAUUGUUUACUUUUCAUUUAUUGCGCACUCAUGCAUGGACACCAAUUAGUGGCAUAGGUUAAUAAAAGGGUCCAAGACUGCAUGUACACUUAGUUAACAAAUUAAUCAAGUCUAGGUACUAAAAGAGCAUUAAUUAACUAGUGUAAUCAAGUCCUUGGGUUUUAGCCCACCACAAUGGACUAGUGGCAACUUCUUUACAUAAAGUUAGUGUAUUCUUAAAAAAGCUUACCUUCAAAAGACUCCCAGCAGUGACUCUAGAAGAAUAUGUUUUUUUGUGGUCCUUAGCAGCUCAAUCCCGAAUGAAUUUGCUAGAAUUUUGAUACUAUUAUCACUUGUUGAGACGGCUAACAGAACUCCUUCCUUGUUAAAUCUAAUACAAGGUGAAGCCUGCAAAUUUAAAGAGUGAGGUAAUUAACAAAAAGUUUCAAUUAAUUCAGUCAAAAUAAAGUAACAACAAUGAAUUACCAGCAAUCCACCAUCAGCAUUGGUACUUGUAAGUAGACUAUCAUUGUUCAUAUCCCAAAAUUUGACCAUGAACUCGUCACCAGCGGCCAAAAAUCUAUUUUUGAUGAUAUCAAACUGCACAACCCCAGUAGAACUCUUUCCAAGUCCAUGAUAUGUACGCUUGAUAGCCCCCUCAGUUUCAACCCAUUCAACCAAGUAUGACUCUCCUUCUUUAUUGGUCCCACAUGAGAACAACCUAUAGCAAAUUAAAAUCGCUAAAAUGGGUUAUUUCAGUGAAAAAGAAAGACUCGGGAUGAAAUCAAGCUUGAAAUGUGAUGCUGAUGGUCUGAACCUGUCUCCAUCAGCAUUGUAUGACAUCACGGUAGAAGAGUGACCCGGUGCAUCAUAGUCAACUCUUGACCCCAUGUUGUCAUAAAGCCAAGCCUUGAUUUUCCCAUCUGUUGCUAUUGAGAAGAUGUACUACACGAUAAAACAAUUGUAUAACCAAUUUCAGUAGCAUGCCCAAAUAAAGCACAUCCACUUAAACUCGAAUUAUUAAAACGUAGCAUCCUAGAAUAAUGAGAUUUCACAAGAUAUCUUUGUAAUAAAGUGUCCACUGUGCACAACCAUAAAUGUUUUUAAAAAAUUGACAAUUGCUGCUCCACUCAGACAUAAUAAACGGCCUUCUAUUAUAAAUUUAACCAAUCAUAACCGAAGGAGGAAACUGAGGGAAAACAAAUAAUGGAAGCAGAGGAAUUUUCUUUCUGAAUAUAUAAUUAAGUAGGAAGUCAUUAUUGCAAAGACAUUUACCCAGCUGUUGAUGCUUAGUAGCAUCGCCUGAAAGAAUCAAAUUGGCAUGUUGAUCUUUGGACCAUGUCACCAUGUUUAACAAGCACAUUCUAAUCAAGACAAGUUAAAAGUCGGAAGACUUGCAAAACCCUUGAAAUGAACAAGGUCCUUUAAAACACAGAUUCAUACUCCUCAUACAAAUUGAACCAAUUUUUUUUACCUAACUAAGUUUUAGAAAACAAAAGUCUAGUGUAUAGUCAAGGGUACAACUUAUUGGCCAUGCUUGUAGUGUGUCUUCGUUAGUACGCGAAAUAAUCAAGUACCUGAAUACUUUCUUUAUGGUGUGGACACAUAGAAUAUACAGGUGCUUCAUGACCCUCGAAACAGUAUUGCUUAGCCCCAGUCACUACAUUCCAUACCUACAAAACUACUAGCUUAGUUAAAAGGGAUCAAAUAGUGGAACACUACAACACUGAGGAAAAUAAUCAGGAUAUACCUUGAUCGACUUGUCCUCUCCGCAAGUCACAACGCAUAACCAUUUGUUUGGAUAUGAAAAGGCAAGAUCAUUAACACUUCCAACAUGAGCCUCGAGCUGUAUUAAACAUUAGUUUAGAGUCAAAAUCAAGUUUUACUCACAUUUAGGUGGCAAUUGUCUGCAAAACAAAGAAGCCAAAUUUUCACUCCUUGUUUAGCAACAAACCUCAAGGUGGUUCCUUAUGUCAUCACCACCGUAAUACGAGUAUAUGUGCACCAUACAUUUGGAAUAAGCAACACCUAAAGUGAACACCCCAAAUCAUCAGUAAUAGCAGCAUAUGAACAUUCUUCUUGAAAUAUUGCAAUGAAGUCUCAUUCUCGGCACUUUAGUUGUUUCAUCAAUUUGCAAUAAGACAAGUAGAAGUCACAUCUGUACAUACCAAAAAGAAAUCCAUCAGGACUCCACGUUACACGGUUAAUGGAUGUUGUAUAGUCAUUGGCUAGAGAAGCCUGCAAAGAAUCAAAACCCACAAUCACAUGUCCAAAAACAAGAUACCAUGACUUUAUUUAGAAUGGAACUUCUAUACCUGUAGCGCCAUUGAACAUGUUCCCAGAUCCCAAACCUUGAAUUUUCUCAAAGCAAUCCUUUCACGGUUGCUUAAUUCCCAUACCGUGACAUCACCCGUAUUUGUUCCCACUAAAAUUUAUUGAUGCAAAAAAUUUGAAGAAUCAUAUCCCUUGGUUUCAAAUAGCUGAAGCUAGCAUAAAAAACAACAAAAAGCAAUCUUCCAAGCACCAAAACACAAACUUAUGGCCAACAAGUAUAUCCAACUGAAGAAAAUCAAGAAACAGUUCUUCAUAGAGUAAGAAAGAAGUGCUAACCGAGCAGUAGAAUUUGUCGCUUGGAUGGAAUCCAUACUUUUAACAAGUGAAUCUUGACUUAGGGUAAUGACUACACUUCUAGGCAAGUCAUCUGAAGAAUAAGAACUCUGACCAAAGCUUCGGUAGUUGUAUGUAAUGGGAAAAAUGUUUCCCGACAAAUUAUUCACCUAUUAGAAAGUCAUGAAAAUUACAAAACCAAUGAGUCCUUUAGAAAAUUGAUCAAAACCAUGGCACUCAAAAGAUGCAAAAACGCAUAUGAGAACCCAUCUUGUACUAGCAUACGUGAGCACACCGCAUGCAUGAUAGGAGGAGAUGUAAUCAACACCUAUCCAGUCCACGCUUCUCAUUAAUGCUGCAAAUAUUGACACAGUGUUUACAUAACAAUACCAAACACAUAAAACACAGACACAACCUAAUAUGACACAUCACGAUACAUUUAACUUGAUGAAAUAUUUACAUGUUUUCAUCUAAUUCAAUGGGUUAACAUGUCUAAUAGAAGUCACGAUGAAUUGACAUAGUCACAAACACAACUAUGACAAGUGGACAUAAAUUGACAACCCUAGCCCUUUUGCUCCUUUCUCUUUCCAUUAGACUUUUUUGUAAUCCUUCCAAUCCUCAAUUAUUUCAUUAGGUUAACAUCAUGAAAAUUAAGGGUAUCUAGAAACCUCAAAACUAAAAGUUUCUCCUUGUUGGGUGGUCUUGGGCUUAUCUCACCCUAAAAUCUAACUUAAAGGAUGAAACUUUCCCUCACAAUUAUAAACUAACUACUUUUUCCUUCCACAACUGAUGUGAGAUAACCCUUACACUUGUGAAAAUUCUCAAUGUGUGAUCAUAUGCCGCAAUAGCACAAAAAUGAGUGCACUUUCUGAAAGCUUUCGUUCAAUGGCAUGCAAAGAAAGAUAAUUAAAAAAGAGAAACACUAAAGAACAGGCAAUAUAUUCCACUUUAACUUUAUAAUUCAAAAAAACUGAAAAUCCCUACUUCCAGGAAAAAAAGACUUAAAAUAGCGAGAAUGUAACAAGUUUGAUAGAUCUAGUUACGAAUGUUGAUAAAAGCAUCCCAUGCAUAACAAAUAAUUGAUCAUUCAGUAAAAUACUUCUCUUUCUAGAUGGAACCAUCCUUUAAUAACUGAAGAACGAUAAAGAAAAAGCAAAAUGAGAUAAGUACUUCAUUUGAGAUUCUAAAAGGUUUUGAUCUCUUCAAAGGACGUUCAACUGUUGUUUGGUAGUCCAUGGCUAAGUUGUUGGCAGGAGGAGUCUUGGAACACUUUAAGAGAACUGUAUCACAAGAAAAAAGCUAAAUAAAAUGCCCAACUAACAGCUUGAACUUUUGUAAGAUACAAAAUCAAGUUUCAUGGCUUUUCUACAACAUGUUAUAGAAAGGUUUGAGAGACAUUUAAGCCAGUUAGAAAGAGUGAGUUUCUUGAGAAAGUUUAGUUAAGAAAAAUUCAACGGAUGCGGGAUUGGCAAGUAAUACCUAGAGAUAGUAUGCGAGAGUGCAAUUUUGAUAGUUUGUGAAGCUCAUCUAAACCAAGAUUGUUUGGCGAAACCAAUUGGCCAUUAUUACUAGGUGACCCUUCCAUAUUUUCCUGUGCUGAAGCUCUCAACCUUUUGAGUUCCGCCAAUAUUCCUGGGUCAUCAAGCAAUUCUAUCAUGGGAGUUCCACUAAUUUCCAGCAUCCUCAAGUUUUGUAAAUUCACAAUGCUUUUAGGUAAUUCUUCAAUGGCCGUAAAUUUCAAAUGUAACUCAAUCAAUGAUGUCAACUUUCCGAUUGAGUCUGGAAUUUGUUUCAACGAAUGGCAUCUCGAUAAUGAUAACUGUGACAAUGAUACGAGGGAGCCUAUGGAGUCUGGAAGUUGAGCAAGUUUUUGGCACUCAUUCAGGUCAAGGCGAGAUAAAGAUGUUAAAUUGCCUAUUGAGUUGGGUAUGCGGACUAAUGAUGCGCAAUAAGAGGCAUCUAGAGUCUUGAGCUCCUUCAAAGAACCAAUGGAUUCGGGUAAUUCUUCAAUGGCCGUAAAUUUCAAAUGUAACUCAAUCAAUGAUGUCAACUUUCCGAUUGAGUCUGGAAUUUGUUUCAACGAAUGGCAUCCCGAUAAUGACAACUGUGACAAGGACAUGAGGGAGCCUAUGGAGUCUGGAAGUUGAGCAAGUUUUUGGCAUUCAUUCAGGUCAAGGCAAGACAGAGAUGUUAAAUUGCCUAUUGAGUUGGGUAUAUUGGCUAACAAUGCACAAUAAGAAGCAUCUAAAGUCUCGAGCUUCUUCAAAGAACCAAUAGAUUCUGGUAAUUCUUCAAUGGCCGUAUAUUUCAAAUGCAAUUCAGUCAAUGAUGUCAAUUGUCUGAUCGAAUCUGGGAUUUGUUUCAACGAGUGACAUCCCGAUAAUAACAACCGCGGCAACAACACGAGGGAGCCUAUGGAGUCUGGAAGUUGAGUAAGUUUUUGACAUUCAUUUAGGUCAAGGCGAGACAGAAAUAUUAAAUUUUCUAUUGAGUUGGGUAUGUGGGCUAACGAUGCACAAUAAGAAGCAUCUAAAGUCUCGAGCUUCUUCAAAGAACCAAUAGAUUCUGGUAAUUCUUCAAUGGCCGUAUAUUUCAAAUGCAAUUCAGUCAAUGAUGUCAAUUGUGACACGAGUAGGGUCUUUGUUUCAACGAGUGGCAUCCCGAUAAUAACACCGCGGCAACAACACGAGGGAGCCUAUGGAGUCUGGAAGUUGAGCAAGUUUAUGGCAUUCUGUUAGGUCAAGGCAAGACAAAGAUGUUGAAUUGCCUAUUGAGUUGGGUAUGUGGGCUAACGAUGCACAAUAAGAAGCAUCUAAAGUCUCGAGCUUCUUCAAAGAACCAAUAGAUUCUGGUAAUUCUUCAAUGGCCGUAUAUUUCAAAUGCAAUUCAGUCAAUGAUGUCAAUUGUCCGAUCGAAUCUGGGAUUUGUUUCAACGAGUGGCAUCCAGAUAAUAUCAACCGCGGCAACAACACGAGGGAGCCUAUGGAGUCUGGAAGUUGAGCAAGUUUUUGGCAUUCAUUUAGGUCAAGGCGAGACAAAGAUGUUAAAUUCCCUAUUGAGUUGGGUAUGUGGGCUAAUGAUGUACAAUAAAAAGCAUCUAAAGUCUCGAGCUUCUUCAAAGAACCAAUAGAUUCUGGUAAUUCUUCAAUGGCCGAAAAUUCCAAAUGCAAUUCAGUCAAUGAUGUCAAUUGUCCGAUCGAAUCUGGGAUUUGUUUCAACGAGUCGCAUCCCGAUAAUAACAACCGCAGCAACAACAUGAGGGAGCCUAUGGAGUCUGGAAGUUGAGCAAGUUUUUGGCACCCUUUUAGGUCAAGGUGAGACAAAGAUGCUAAAUCACCCGUUGAGUUAGGUAAUUCUUCAAUUGCCGUGUUUGAUAGGUUCAAUUGAGUUAACGACAUAAGGAAGCCUAAGGAUUCUGGAAGUUGAGCUAGUAGUCUACAAUUUGAGGCAUCUAGAGUCUCUAGCUUCAUCAAACAACCUCUUGAAAUAUAAAUCUCUUGUAUAGCAGUGUGAUUUAUGAGAAGCUCCCUCAAUUCUUCCAUUCUAUCUACUCCUAGUGGUAGCUUCUUCAAUUUCCGACAUCGAUUGACGCUCAAGGAGACAAGGGUCUUGAUGUCCAAGAUAGAAUGAUGAAUCUCUUCUAGAUAUAUACAACGUUCAAGUAUCAAAAUCUCCAAGCUCUUGAAAGCGGACAAGUCAGGUGUUGUUCUCAAAGCACAAUUUGAAAGGUUGAGAACUUUGAGCUCAAUUGCCAUCUGAAUGAAAGAGAGGUUACCAAUUUGAGAUUGGAUAAACAAACAAAAAAUACCCAUGCUCCUACUCCUACACAGCUAUCUUAUUUAAUUUUAAAUGUUUCUUUUCAGUAGCGUAUUCGCUAAGCUGGCACAUAAAUGUCUUUAAGCAUAUCAUUGCAAAAAGAAUGUUAGGGAUGUAUGACUGCUAACUACAAUUAUUUGCAAAUAAAAUUUCAUAAACAAUAUCAUAUUUUGUUUUUCGAAGUCAUGGCUAUGUUGUAAAUUAUUGAUUAGAGAUAUACAAAUUUUAUUAUCGAAUUACAGAUCACUAAGACAAAUGGAAGAAAAGAGAUGCAUUCAUUUGGUGCUAUGUUUUCCUUUAAUAGUAUGAAAUUAAAGAGAAAUGGCUCCUUUAAUUAUGAUUAACAAGUUUUAAAUGCUAUAUGUACAGGAUGUAAAAAAGUGUCAUAUUAAAAAUAUUUAAAUGACAUUUCAAAGAUAAUUUAUUACUCAUGUAACAUUGCUACUUUAUGAAUGUGUUGUACAGUGAAUUCAAUAAUCAACAAUUAUAAUGAAUAUAUUGUGUGCAAUAAGUCAGAGCAGUUCACAUAUUAUUUCCAUUACUCUAAAAGUAAUAAUUAAUUUAGAAUUUUAGUAUGUAUAUAGAACACAAGUCAAUGUGAGGGAGUAUUUGUUUGUCCAUGGAAGAAGAUUGAUAACUACAUAUAACAAGAAUUGUUAAGAAGACAUACUUAUGGAUGUGGAGAGAUUAACUAGAAACCAUAUACCAUUUAGAUUGAAUAAGAUGCACGCAAAAUUGUGACUAUAUUGUUGAUAGAUGUUAAUUAAUAUAGUUAAAAGGUUUUUAUUAGUAGGUCUAAUGUUAAGCAUGAUUGUUUGUUAAAAUAUUAAGGGGAAGAAGCUUUUGGCGUAUUUAAGUGCCUACAAAUUCCUCUUAUGCUUAGAGGAAUAUCCAUGAUAUGAGAAAGGAUUUUCAAAAGAAAUAAAGGAGAACUUGGUGUAAUUGGGCCCGCCAACACACAUGAUUAUUUAUAAGUGAUAUGCCUUCUUUACAUCUUACCUUUAGUAGACCGAAUCCUCCCCAGUCCCCCGAAAUGUUACCAUACAACAGCUCGAGCACAACUAAUUUCCUCAGGUGAAAGCAGCUCAAUUCAAAAGUCAAGUCAUAACCAUUCCACACAAGCCAUCUUAAUUGAGGAAACAAGUUUUGAAAACCUCCGGUGAGAUUUUCCGCGUUCAGUUGAAGAAACCUCAAGUUGGUGAAUGCUUUAAAUGUUUCAACUGUGUGACUUUUUUCGACAUAUAAGUCAACAUGAAGGGCCUCAAUCUUACUAGUGCCCUGCAAUUAGGCAACAUUGUAAAUCAAAGUAUGGAAUAAUAGGUUGAAACCAACUAUAUAUGAGAAAAGAUAUAUUAAUUCCAAUUUUGUUGUCAUGAUACUAUGAUUAGGCUUCUCACUUUCGACUUCAUGGUAGACAAGUUCUGGUAAUUUAUGUAAAAAUGUGAAGCUCUAUAGGGUAUUCCCGAACAUUUUCAAAAAAAUUAUAGAAGGCCUCUUCAUCCACACACUACUUCAAGUGUAUCUAUCUAAUCUCGUGCCCUGUGUAUGGGAAAUAACAAAACCCUAACUCAUAUCCAUUAUAUGUUCAACAACAUGUCUAACAAUUCAAAAUUGCAAAUGCAUCUAUCAAAUUUACCGUCAAAACAUGUAUCAAUACUAAAGAAUCCCAAUUGUAGAAUCCUCCUCUUUUUCUUUUGUACCUUGUUUACAAUUCUCAACAGCAAAAUGAAGAUGAGAACUCCAUCCCAAGAAGUACUCAAGUGUUUUACAUUCCUUUCUUAUCAUGUGUUUUUUCAGUGAGUGUUUUUCAGUGUAUGUAGAAGAAAACAUAACAAAUGCUAUAUAAUGAUUCACUUCUCUUUCUAUUAUACAUAUGUUUGAUGCUAACUUUUCAUUUCGUGUUGAUUUUGUUACAAAGAAAUAACAAUCAUCUAAUUUUAUGAUCAAUUUUCCCAUAGAUUAUAAGAUCUUGCUAAUAGACAAAUUGGACAUGAAGAAUAUUAUGUUAAUAUUAUUUCUAUGCAAGCAUAUGGUUAUGAAUUGUUUAGUUUUAUUACUAAUUAUCAUUCUUAACCUAACAUAACAUUAUUUAAAUAAAAAAAACUUUACAUUCUCGAUUAAGGUAUAAUGAUUGAAAUUUCAUGAAAAAUGCCGGCACAGUUACUCUGAUUGUAUUAAUUCUGGCACUUGGAGAUUAGAAUUCUAUGCUUUAUAUUUCCUAAGUAGUUAUUGUUCACAAUAGCAUAGUCAAGUUAUUUGUUGCUUGUGUCAAGGACGUAACCCAAACAAUUUAAUAAAUUCAGAUUUUUUUCAAUGUAGAAUACCCUAUCAAUAAAUUUGAAAGCACCUCAUUCUUGGAAAAAAACUUCGUAAUGUACACUUGUGUAAGAAAAAUCUUUGAUAAACUACUAUACUUACUAAGAGAGAGCAAUUUUAUGCUUUCUAAACAUGUCAACGAAAUGACACGAGGACAAUAAUAUGAGAAGGUUUUCCACUCACUAGAGCAAGCACCAAGUGGAGGACCAACGUCACCUUGACAGUAGAACAUGGACUAAGGGAGCAAAAGAAAAGAAACGAUUACCUUAUUUCCUUCUAGCACUUCCGAGACUGCCUUAGAGUCCCAUAAUCUACUACGGUUCCAAGGCUCCAAUUUGUUUUCUUUGCAGACGAUUUCCCUACCAAGAUCUCUCAAUUGAUCAUGCAUUAUGAGCUCAUGAUUAUCUCCAACUUUUAUUAGAGACAAAAAUCUCAAUACUUCAAUUCCCUCCUCUGGGAAAAAGUCAUAUGCAUCCCACAUGUAGGAUGCGAUUCUCUUGUCAGUGCCAAUAAAAAAACAAGCGAUAUCCAAAAAAAUUUGUUUUUGUUCAUGUGUUAAUUCUUCAUAACUUAUCCUUAACUUUUUUUGCACUUCCUCGUGAGGAAAUUUUCUUAACUUCUUUAUUGUGUCUCCCCAUACUUUUUCAUUUUUUCCACACAAAAAGGAACCUAAGACCUGAAGAGAUAAGGGAAGCCCUCCUGUGGUGGAAACAACAUCAUGAGUGAGGUCCUUAAAUUCACUUGGAGGAGAGUCCCUUCGAAAAGCAUGUCUACAAAACAAAAUCAAAGAAUUAUCCUUAUUCAAUUCCUUAUGUUCAUACUGGUUGUCCACCCUAGCAUUGUCAAGAAUACUCUUGUUUCGAGUGGUAAUGAUGAUCACACUUCCUGAAGAAAACCAAUUAUGAUUUCCAGCCAAAGCCUUCAACUGAUCGUCAUUGCCCACAUCAUCGAGAAGAAUUACGACUUUCUUACCAUUAAACUUGGAUGAAAUGAACUGAAUCCCUUCAUCCUUAUUAGAAACUUGAUUUUCUAGCUUCAAUAUGUCCUUGAUUAACUGAUUUUGCAAGAACACAAGUCUUUUAUCAUCACAUUGUUCCCUCACAUCUGCAAUGAAGCUACGAUGCUCAAAUUGAUUGGAGAGCUUGUUGUAGAUGGUUUUAGCAAGAGUGGUCUUACCAAUCCCUCCCAUUCCAUGGAUGCCAACAAAUAGGGAAGCACGAGAAAUAUUAUCGAUAAAUUCCAUAACUUUUUUCACAUGAUCAUCAAUUCCGACCAAAUUCUCCGGAAUAACCAACUCAAACUUUUUCUUCAGCUCGAAUAACACUUGUUGAACAACCGAUUUUACCAAUUCUCCUUCAAGCCUGUCAAAUGUGACAAGUUCAAAUGCAUGGCAAUAGCGAUUUUAUAUUGUUUAACUAAUGAUAACACAAUAAUAAACAAAUUUAAGGAUAAAUUGGAAAACUUAAAGAUUUGUUUUUGCCACACCUCCAUAUAUUACAUUUUAAGCUAAGAUAAAGGCAGGAAAUGGGAGUGGUUGCUUCGCGUGGAGUGCCUCAUUCCAUUAUUUACUCUGACAUAAUUUAUUGAACUAGAAGAAUCUUAAGGGUAUCGUUAAUGAAUCUUGAACGUUACAUGAAUUAUGGAUUUGAAUGAAAUUUAAACUUUUUGUUUGUUAAAGAUAUUAGGGAUGAUGUGUAAAUGACAUUGAAAACUUUCUAGAGUGUUUGAAUAGGCAAAAAUCUAAUAAAUAAGCUCGAUAUGAGAAUUCAACCGUCAAUCAAUAACCAAGUCAUAACUUUUGAUGCAAGAGAAAUUCACGCCCUGAAAGUCGUUUAGAGUGCUAUAUUAUGACUACCUGAAUUUGAGGGUGCUUCUCUUAUCAGUGCAAUUCUACACGCCUGCAAAUUUCUACUCUUAUUCUGAAUUUAGUAAAACUCUAGAUUCGUGUUCUUACCAAUUUUCUUUGCAUCAAGGGAUAAUAACAGGUUGUACUUCAUUUUUCUAUCGAGUGUCUAUUUUAUAUGAUUUUAAUUAAUCAAUUUAUGCAGGUGUAUGACAUAGAAAUUAUGUGUUGAAGAUAGUAAAAUGCAUUGAAGAUGAUCUAAAGAAACACAUAAUAAAGAUAAUUUUCUUCCUUUUAAUAUUUAUAGUCAUCCUAUAUAACCAAUGGAAUAUUUCUUUUGUAAAAAUAAUUUUACUAACAACAAAUUAACGACAUUAAUGAUUUAAUUCAUGUAAAUUGGGGGGAUAAAGAAUUAUGCCUUUGAAAAUCAACAUGCAUCGUAUCUGAUUUGAUGAGCCUAAUCUUAAAAUAAAUACGUAGUUAGUAAAGUUUGUGAUGAAGAGUGAUGAAGCUUACACUAUAAACAUGAAAAAAAGGCACAAACCUUAAAAAAUUUUGGACAUAAGAGUAACAAGUCAAUUAAAAAUUCUAUAUUAUUCAAGCUAGUAGGAUGAUAACAAUAAAACCUACAAUUAGAUUUGUUGAUACCAUUAAAGUCAUUCUUGAAACAGAAUAACUUAUGGCACUCAUGCAUCGCAGGAUCUUACUGCUAGCACGAUCUUACUGCUUUUUUUCUUUAUUAAGAAAAAAAAAACUAAAAGAAAGAAAUGAAGAAAGUAGGCAUUAGAACUAGUAAACAUCCAAACAAACUACAAGAAAGUAGAGAAUGUUUUGGUGAAAAAUUUACCCAUUGGCGUCAAAUCCUUUCAAGGAACUAACUUCAUUGAGUGCUUGCUUCCAUUUCUCCAAAGUCGUUGAGUUGAAAUACUUCCUACGUGUAUGAAAUGCGUCUCCAAAACUCCCUUUUUGAUAUCGCACAUGAGAUGGUUCUACUUUGUAGAAUAUGGGCAGCACGAUAUACCCUGUGUUACUUUUCUUGCAUUCCAUUAUUUGAACCAGUUCAUCCAAACACCAUCUGCUUUGCCCAUAAUUAACAGAGAGAAUGGGGAUCAAGAUCUUACUAUUCCUGAUGGCUGCCAAAAGAUCUGGUUUGAUCUUCUUGCCUUGGCGAAGCUCGCUAUCAUCUUUGAAAACACAAAUUCCAGCAUUAACCAGCCCAUUGUAGAGAUGAUCGGUAAAGCCUUUUCGAGUAUCUUGGCCAUUAAAGUUCAAGAACACCUCAUAAUGGUUUCCAGUUGGCAUAGUUGACAGACUAGAUGCACCAUUGUUAGUUUCUGUCGGGGACGAAAUAGAUCCACCGGAAUUAGUUCCCUUUGGCGUAGGCAGUAAACCAGAUGUGGCAGUAUCAGCAUCACUUACAUUUUUAAGCACGUUAGUUUUCUUCUUCUUGAGAAAAUUGAACGCUAGGACGGAGAGAAUGAUGAGUGCCACGAGAACGGCGAAAGAAUGCCCAAAAAUGGGAUGAUGCAUUUCGUCUUUGCUCUGACUCUGCCCUUACUUUUGCUUUCAAGUCCGAUGGAGGAAAAACUAGAUGCCUCCCAGGAAACACGAAAUACCUUGUUGCCCACUACCCUUUAUUGGUUUGAAUUAUAUAAUCGAACCAGUUGACAACCUGAUUCGCACCAAUGCUUCAAACUAGUUGAGCUAUAUGUAAAUUCGUAAUUAAUUCACCGGGAACAGUAACCACGUGCUUGGAGUCGUCGUCUUCAUGUGGCGAAAAUCUCAAUGCACAAGAAAAUCCAAUGCGAUAACUGUCCAAGAAGAAGACAAUAUGCGAGGAAAUUUCAAUGCAGAAGGAAUGAAAAUAAAUAUAACCAAAGAUAAAUAGACAAGUGAUGUUAAAAUUUCAAUACACUUUUUUUUUGUCGAAAAAAUUUCAAUGCAUUAAAAAUGGUGGAUUUUUUGGGAAGAUGAAAAGUGGAGAGAGAGAGAGAGAGAGUGAGAGACUUGGUAUGAGAACGUGACAUGGACUCGCCGGAGAAAACAAAAAGUGGGGAGAAAGAGAGCAAUAAUUAUGGAGACACAACGUUGAACCAAAAUUAAGAAAUUGAAAUGCUUGAUUAAAGAAAAAAAUUCAAGUACUCAAUUACUCAUCGAGCAAAACACAAACCGUCAUCAUCCCAAAAAAAAGAAAAUAUUUUUCAAUUUCACUAACACCAUAGAACAAUCCUUUAUAUUCGACCCAAUCUAAUGAUGCAUGCAAAACUAACAUUAUAGAGAAGGGUCAAAGUUUAAUAGAAAUGAAUUCAAUCAUAUUGGUCUCGCAUAUAAGGCCAACAUGAGAUCCACAUAAUUAAAUUUUAUAAUGAAUGCAGUCCAUAUCUAGGCAAGUAUUCCUCCCCCCCGGGUGGCAUUGCAAGAGGGAAGGAUGAAGUUCGGAAUAAAUGAGUUCUAGUAGUUCCGGACUUAAUUGUAGAUAAGUUUUCAAGGGCGUGAUGAUGCUAGUGUUUAGGAAAAAUAAUUUAAGUUCCCAAUUCAAAGAGGUUAUUUGAUAUCACUUCCCUAUAGCAAAUUGCAACUUGUAUAACAUGGUGAAUACUUCAAAGCUGCAGCAAUUAAAAAUUACAAUAACUUCAAGUGUUACGACUGUAAAAUAUUUUAUCACACACAAAGAUUGCCACACUUCAAAAUACAGUACGGUUACUUUUCAAUUACAACAAUACCAAUGUAAUCAGGAUUGGAAAAAAAAUAAUUACUCAUUGAUAUUGUCUAGAGGAGAUAUAUACGUUCGCUCACAGCUGUGAUCUUCACCAAUCCUCAGCUUCAACAUUGCAUACGUAGCACUUUUAAGGGUGCGUGCUUGAACAAUGCUGAGCAACUUAGAAUUAUGCGGAAGGUGUUUUGAUUCAAAGCGAGCACGACCUUGAAUUGCCUUUUUUAUUAACAAAGAUAUAGAGAAGAAAACCAAAGGGCAAUCAUUGCACGCUCAAUUUCCGCAAUAGAGGAAGGUGCGUCGAACCAUCCUAUGUUGGUGCUUCUCGACUUGACUAUGCUUUUUUCUACUAAUAAAAGAAAUAUAAAAGACAACUAACUAGCAAUGCUCCCACGCUCCCGGUGCUAAUGGACAUGAGUCAAGCACAAAAACAUAUUAUGACAUAAAUGCUGAGUUGUCAUUCAACUGUCCAAGACACAUGCUGCUCGCAAGGAUAAUUACUGCACGCGUAAAUCCCACGGCAUUAUGGGGACGGUGCGUGUGCUUUUUGACUUGACUUUGCUUUUUCUAUGAAUGAAGAAACAGAAACGACAAUCAACAAUCAAUUCUCAUGCUUCAAGUUAGUAAGGACCGAUUGAUAAUCAGUCAAUUCUUAGUGAAUUUUGUUCUUUGAAUUUUCAAAAAAUAAAAAUAAAGAUCCAUUUGAUAACAUCAAUUAAUUUUUAUACUCCUGAAUAAAUAAAUAAAUUUAAAAAAUAAAUUUUGAAUAAAAUUAAGAAGUAGAAGAAAUUUCUUUUUAAAAUUUUUAGGAAUAAUUCUAGAAUCAAGUAAUUUUCUUUUUCUUUUUUUCCAUUUUCUUUUCUUCUUCUUCCUCCUUCAGCCCAGCAACCAGCCAAAGAUAAGGUCAGCCAUGGCAAGGCGAGCUCAGCCUUGCCGUGUGGCUUGCCUUCACUGGGCAAGCCUCAGACCUCAUCGGGGGCUGACGAGGCUCCCCGAAGCUAGGACUGACUAAAGAAGGAAGAAAGAAAAUAAAGAAAAGAAAAAUAUCAUAAAGCAAUUAAAAAUUAAAAGAAAUUCUACAGCACAACACAUUUUUGUUCUACUUCUAUUUCAGGAAUAGAAAUUCUAUGCAAUUAUCAUAUGCUUUCAAAUACUCGAAAACUUGUCAAGGAAACAAAAUAAAAAAAUUAUUUCUGAAUAGAAAUUAUUUUUAGAACAAAAUACCGUAACUAUAUUCUCCAUCACUUAAUUUCCACGGGGCAAUUAAUGCAUGUGUAAUUUCCACAGUAGUUCGUAGAAGGUGCGUGGAACCACUCUAUGCUGGCGCUUCCUAACUUGACUUUGCUUUUUUUUUCCCUAGUUAAUAAGAGAAAUAGAAAAGAAAACUAGCCAGUGUAGCAAUGCUCCCAUGCUCCCAGUGCAAAUACACACGAGUUAAUCACAACAACAUACAAGAUCAUCCCGAGAGCUUGGUACAAUAUCGCCCCAUUAGUUUAUGCAAUUUCUCAUACAAGAUCAUCUCAAAAAUCCUAACAAAUAGAUUGAAGAAUUGGCAGGGAGUUCUCAUCUUACUGGAACAAAGUGUCUUUAUCAACGGCUGACUUAUCCAGGAAAAUAUUUUAAUAGUCCAAGUGGUACUACACCAGCUCAGAAUCAGAAAUAGAAAGGGGAAGUUUCGGGCUGUACUAAAAUUGGACAUGCAAAAGGCAUACAACAUAAUUGAAUGGGACUUAUUAGAAGCUUGUACAUUAAAACUAGUUUUUCAUGCUAAAUAGGUGACCUAGGUAAUGCAAUGUCUUACCAUCAUUUCUUUUAGUAUAAACUUUAAUAGAGAAUCACUUCCUUACUUUCAACCUUCAAGAAGUCUACGACAAGGUGAUCCGCUUUUGCCACAUCUUUUUAUAUAGUGAAAAAUAUGCUCUCAGUAUUAUUGAAACAAGCUUUAGAGCAAGGCAAUAUUAAAGGCAUUCUGAACAAGCAUUGUCCUACACUAAUCCACCUUCUCUCGCAGAUGAUUCAAUCUUUUUUUCUUGGAUGGGACUAUAAAAGAAUAUCAAAACGUGGCUGAGAUUUUACAUAGCUACUGUUUCACUUCAGGCUAGGCUAUAAACUUAAACUAAUCAGAAUUAUUCUUCAGUAAAAACUGUCCUUUUACACUCAGCCAAAAUAUGCUAACUGAAUUGUGGGUCCUAAAAAUUGCUAAAACCGAGAAGUAUUUAGGAAUUCCUUCUGAUUGGGGUGAAACAAAAAAGCAAAUGAUUGCUUGGAUAUUGGCUAGAGUAAACAUGAAAUUAGAAGGGUGGAAGGAAAAACUUAAGUUCAAGGCUGGAAAAGAAGUUCUCAUCAAAGCAGUAGUGCAAGCUCUCCUACAAUAUGCAAUGCCAGAUUUUAAAGUUUCAGUUUCUAUUUGUCGAAAGUAUUGAAAAGAAAGUCACAAGCUUAUGAUGGAAUACUGAUGAAACAAAAUCUAGAAUACACCGGAAGAAGUGGCACAUUCUUAAGUAUAGGAAAGACUAUGGAGGUUUGGGAUUUCAAGAUUUAAUCGCCUUCAGCAAAGCCAUGCUCGGUAAACAAGCACGGCGUAUGAUGCAAAAUCCUUCAUCACUGUGGUGCCAAUUACUAAAAGGUCUAUAUUUCCCUCAUUCUGAAUUUUGGUCAGCUGGAAAGGGGUAUCGACCUUCAUGGGGUUAGCAAAGUCUUCUAAUGGGCAGAGACGAGAUUCUUCCUUCAGUAGGAUGGAUAGCAAGCAACGGCGAAAAGAUUAAUAUCAAAGAGACAAAAUGGCUUUGCAGAGGAGUUAUAGGAAGACCCGCAAACGAGGAUGAACCAAAAAAAGGUCUCUGAGCUUAUUCAUAGAGAUAUCCCAGCUUAGAAUGAACAACUUAUUGGGACUUUGUUCGAUGAGCAUACAGCUAAUGAAAUUCUAACAAUCCCAUUGGUUCCCAGGCAAAGGAGGAUAAAUUAUGCUGGACAAACAAAAGCACAGGAGACUAUACUCUUAAAAGUGGGUAUAAUAGAAUCAAAGAGAAGGAAGAAUAGGACAAUAACACCACAGCCUCUACCUCUCACCAAAUCCCCAGAUCUCUUUGGAGAAAGAUCUGGAAGGCUAAGACAAGCCCGAAAAUCAAUUUUUUCUUAUGGGGAUUAUGUCAAAAUGCACUGCUGACAAAAGAAAAUCGACAAAAGAGAGGUAUAGUGGAAGAAAGUACCUGCGAUUUAUGUAAAUAGAACCCGGAAACGGUAAAGCACCUCUUCUUACUUUGCCCUUGCACGCAUCAAAUUUGGAUGGAUCCUGCACUACAAAUUAAGAUCUCACCUUAUGGACUUGGUCGAAUAGAUGAAUGGCUACUUAAAUUCAAUUAUCCUCUGCAUGUUUCGGCCUCCUUGCAUCUAUCCUUUAGUGUAUUUGGAAAUAAAGAAAUUACUCUGUUUUCCGCACUAAAGCCAAAUCCGAAGCACCUUAUAAGCUCAACCAUGGCGAAAAAUUAGGGCUUCAACAGUUGGGAAACAACAAAGAAGAAAGGGAAAUGUGUAAAGGAAGCCUCACCUCAGAUCUAGUUUGGCCCAAGCGAAGACACCCUCAAAAUCAAUAUAAAUAGAACUUUCUUGUCCGGAACGACGAUGGAGCGAUAAGCUGUAUUUGCCGAAACAAUUAUGGAGAUUUGAUGGAUGAAUUUGCUGUAUCGGUAAGAGUAAACUCUGCUAUGCAAGCUGAGGCCUAAAGCAAUGGUGGAAACCCUAAAGUAACUAAACGAAGACUUUUAUCCACGAAAACUGAGUAGAAAUUUGCCUCGUGGAUCCUGCUUAUGUUGUCUCUUCACGCGGACCCACGCCGCUCCUCCUCUCCGCGUUGCUCGACCCCUACGACGGUCAGCUGCUCAGAAACCGAAGCCAACGUGUGGUCCCCACCUCGCAUCUCGGGUUUAUCUUCGGCCACUCAGAAUGUACCGAAUUGCCCCCUCAAGCUCACGGGGCGCGCGGUCCGAGCGAGUUCCCGUGUUCUCCCUGACCGAGGCGACUGGGCGGGUUGGACGUUCGGGGCAAUUUCUUUUGGCUUUUUGAAAAAGAAGGCGGGGAAUAUGAAAUGCUCCCCGGCAGUGCUAACUGAGGAGCUCCAUCUUUAGGCCUUUUUCUCUGCCGACAAAUGAGGAGCAUUACCUCUUUCAAAAUAAAAGAAAAUUUUGGUAUGCGGCCCUUUGAUAAAAAUUUAGGUUGCACUUAAAAAUAUAAUUGAUGUUCUACAUUUGAAAAUUUUUAAAUAUGUACAUUCUUUAAGUUAAAUUACAAACAUAAUUGUAUAAUUAUCUACGUGACGAUAUGUGCAUAUCUUAAAUCUUUUAAGUAAUUUUUGUUAAGUAAAAGUUUGACUAUGAGAGGUGCGAGAGUAUAGAAAGUAAAAAUUAGUAUAUGGAGCCUAAGUACACGAUUUGUGUUGGUUCAUCAUAUUUGUAAGCAUAAACUCUUUCGUAUUUGGAGACUUGUGUCUUGCUUGAUAUUUUGCAAUAGUGGAGAAUUUGUCGAUAUGCGGAUUAACAUACUUCAUCUAUGCUUUGUUGUCAAGAAAAAGCUAGAAAUCAAACCAAAUAAGUUGUUAAGAUCUAAAAUAUAUCUAGCAUUGUACUAUGAUGGCUUAAAGUAAAUGAUUGCAUUGGUAAUAGCAAGUCAAACCUUAUGCAUUAGAACUCGAUUUUCAACUUGACUCAAUUUGUUUUUUUUUUUUUUGGGCCAAUGCUGAACUUAAUUCAUUUGUGAAAAAUAAGCUGCAAGUACAUGCCCGUUUAGAUAAAACUGGAAAAUAAUUACUGAAAUUUUUUAGUACUGAAUUUCAGACCAUUUUAAGUACUUAAAAUGAAAGAAAAUGUUGUUUGAUAAUACCCCGGGCAUUACGCGGUAGGUACGGGAACCUAGAGGUGCGUGUGGCCAUUCUAUGUAAGUGUUUUUUUACUUGACUUGCUUUUUUAACUAUUAAUAAAAGAAAAAGAAAAAAAAACUAAUCAGCAAGACUCCCAUGUUGCCAGUACUAAUAUACAUGAGUUAAUCACAAAAACAUAUUAUAACAUAAAUGUCGGUAGUUGUUUAGAUAUUCGAAUAAGGACAAUUUAUUAUUUUCAAUCCAAAAUCUGCUCUCUUUUUUUUUCUUUCAAAGGAUAUUUGUCCAAAAGAGCACAUAAUACUGAGUUGCCAUCCAACAACUCAAGUCACGUGCUGCGGACAGGAUAACUAUUGCACACCAGCAUUAUGCGAAGGUACGUGUGCCUUUUGACUCUACUCGCUUUUUUUUUUUUAAUAAAGAAAUAACAUCGAAAAGCAACAAUCAAUUCCGAUUGCGUAGAUUGCGAUAAUGCUGUCUCUCUCGCGUGCUGCGGACAGGAUAAUUAUUGCACACCAGCAUCAUGCGAAGGUACGUGUGCUUUUUGACUCUUUUUUUUGUGAAUAAAGAAAUAGAACGGAAAAGCAACCAUCAAUUCCGAUUGUGCAGAUUGCGAUAAUGCGCUCUCUCUCUCUCUCUCUCUCCCUCUCCCUCUUUCUCUGUAGGAUGGAUCAUGACAUGCAUAUUGACGUAUAGUUAUGAAGAGGGGACCCAUUUUAUCAGAAAAGCAGAAGACGACCACCAAAUUCAUGUGUGUAGAGUCACUUCAUCAUUGUUUACGGUCAAUUGAAGAAACGAUGUAGGCAUCAUACGAAAUAUUAGAACCGGAUGAGUCCCUAUAUCCCAAUGAUUAUUAGAUUAUAGAGAAAAUUAAAAAAACGAUUUGAUAGUAUAUAUGGAUAGGUUUGUUUGUUAUUGCUUGGCCAAGUUGGAUAAUCACAACGUUUGCAUAAUUAAGAACUAAUUGAGUUGUCGUCUUAUGUUAGAUUUAUCUUUGUGUAAAUCUUAAAUAAUCCAAAUCUUCCGAUUGACAUACUACCAUAACGUGUGAAUAAUGAAAUCCAUAGAUUUUGAAAUUUCUACCAAAUGUGUGACGGUUUGAUCGAAAUUUGAGAUUCAUCACGCUUGACUUGACUUCUGAGUAGAAUUUGUUUUUGUUAACAUUUUUAAUUUACCACCUCAAAAUACAAAUGGAAAAAGAAAAAUGAGACAUGGUAAUAUAAUGGAUAUUGUAGUUCUCAAGGAUGACAUUUUACCAAUUACAUGUGUCCUUAUGUAAGAAAUAAAUAAGUAUAUGUACGAAACAAAGGUUAAAUAGCAAUGAUAAAACAAAUUAAAGUUUUGGGAAAGAAAAUGAAAUGCAAUUCCUUUUUCACGUCGAAAAGUGUAUAUCUUUUUUCCGACAGUGCUUGCAGUAAUCAAUGGGCGUGUUCGAUGGAUAAUUCCCUCCGUACGCUUAUGAAUGCUCGCCCACCGCUGUGACCUCCACUAAUAGUCAGCAUUUUACUCGACCUGCCUUGCCUUUACUGUCAAUGAGAUAAAUAGGAAAGAAAACCAAAGGGCAAUCACUGCCCGAGAAAAUAUUGGGUACGCCUCAUGUAUCAACGUGGCAAACAAAAAGGCGGUGGGAGCGCGACACGUGUCCUCGUGGGACCCAUAAAGUCAGGCGUCUGCUCCUCGACUCAGCGCUUCUUCCUCUCUCCUCUAACUCUCGUCUCGGCUGGUGGCUCGGCUCGGCUGGCAAAACAAAGGACGUCCUCUCCUCCUGACCUGCACGCUCUCUCUCCUGUCAGAGCAUUUAUUGCGGAAACUUUUCUCUUUCCUUCGUUUGAGAAAGAAAAUGGCCGUUCGUUCCUCUUUCCUUCUCCAUUUCUUUCCUUUCGAAUUUUUGAAUCUGAAAUCCUCUCUCCGCGCUCGUUGUUGCUCCGCCGUGCAUCAAGCGGCCGUUCUCCUGCCAUCACCGACGAACCACAUUACGGCCGCCGCUACUCCGGUGCUCACUCGCUUCUCUCUUCGGGUUCGUUGCUGCUCCGUCAUUCGUUCCGGCGUUCCCGGGAUCGCAGAUGCAGCACGCGGAGGAGAAGCAGGCCUCUUCGAGCUCCCCUCAACGUCGGCGACGUCGCCCGCCAAGCGAGACCCGCACACACGGAAGGCUCGGAGGCGAGGUUGCUGGAGAAGCUGGUGCUGAGCUGCCUUGUCGUGUUCGACGCUCCUCCGCCUCCCUCUCGCGACGUCCGCUCUGCUCUCUCUCUCUCCCCCCUCUGCGAAGUCGUGACUCUCUUCCAGCGAAACGCGACGCCGACGGCCCUCCACCUCUGCCGGUUGACUCCGUCGCCCUCGACUCCGACUCCGACUCCGACGCCGACGCCGACGCCGCCUCCUCCCCUGAACCCGACUCUGACGCCGACGCCCCUUCGCCGGUUGCCUCCGUCGGUUGGCAGGUCCACGUCGGCUCCCUCGGCUCCCUCUUCUCUCUCCCGUCGUUCCAAUUUAAACCAACGCGCGGGCGUUUAAAAAAGUGUAAAGCAUUCUCUCUCCUCUGUCUUCUCUCUCCUCUUUGCUCUCUCUUCCUCCUCCGACGCUCCUUCCGGUCUAGCGAUUCCUCCGACGACCGUCGCUCCCUCCCGACGACGGCCUUUCUCUCUCCACUCGACGGCCUCAUCUCUGGGCUCCAUUCUCUCGGCGCACUUCUUCCUAAAUCGCGCUCUCUCCCGACGGCCGAUUUCGCUCGCCUCUCUCCGUCCCCCGACUCGCAACCGAGAAGCAAUCGCUCGGCUGGUGCCGCGGUUUCUCUGUCGUUUUCCGAGAAGCCCCACUUCAAUUCCUUGCUCUGUUCGUCCAGCGAGUGCCAUGUCCGAAGACCCUUUGGGCUUUUAGAAAGUGGGUGCGUGAAAAGGCGCGGCCUUAGGAGGAGCCUGAGCAGCUUCGUGACGUCUGCCAUCGCCACGCCGAACUGGUUGCUGAGCGAGGAGGCUUUCAAGAAGUUGGGGACCGGUGGGUUCUCGGAGAGCGAGGUUGACGCGAGUGAGGAUGAGGGCGGCUUCGUGUCUGAGGGCGGCGAGGCUGAGAGUGUGAGCGAGGACGAGCUAGCUCUCUCCAAGCUGGGUUUGCCUCAGAGGCUCGUGGAAUUUGUUGAGAAACGUGGCAUUACCCAUCUCUUUCCCAUUCAAGUAUGCUUUAUCCUUUGUUUCCUUCCCCUAUGUUAUCCAAUAUUUUCGCUCUGGUAUGAAUUGCUGUUGUUUAUUGGUGGCUGAGUUUUUCUUUGUUUGAGCAUACUUAGUUGGCUGGAAAAUUAAGUAGAAAACCUUGACCUUUGUUAAUGUGCUAGGCGAACCACCGAUGGAGUUAAGUGCAGGCAAUCAUAAUACGUAUUCUGGGAUGUUCUGUCGUAGCUUACGUUAGAUGACUAUCCUAUGCUGAAAAUUGAGCUGUUAAACACUAAGAUGUUGUUGGGACUAAGGCUUUACACAGGCAGAAUUCGUUUUUUUAAUCGACUCGAUAUUUGGUUUCUUUACUUUUGCCAGCACUAGGAUAGUUCACUCAUCACUCGUUACUUUUCCCCCUUCAUUGUUCACUCUACUCAAGUUUCAUCAUGUUUUCAAUGGCAAACUCAUGUUCCUUGUACUAUUCUGUGAUUGUUAGAGAGCGGUGUUAACCCCUGUGCUUGAAGGGUGUGAUUUAAUUGCUCGUGCGAAGACUGGAACGGGGAAGACUUUAGCUUUUGGGAUUCCAUACUGAAGCGUCUUACUGAUGGUGAUGAACAUAGAAGUCCGAGGUAUUUGAGUAAUAAUUUUAAUUAUCUUGGUGACCUCCAAUGUUUGAGCAUUUUUCUAAUGACAGAUUAUACUGUAAAUGUCUCUUAGAUAUGGGCAACUUCCUAGAGUUUUGGCCUUAGCACCAACAAGGGAAUUAGCAAAACAAGUAGAGAAAGAAAUUAAGGAAUCUACACCUUACUUAAACACCGUGUGUGUUUAUGGGGGAGUUUCUUACAUUACCCAACAAAGUGUCCUUUCCCAGGGGUUCAAUGUAGUUGUCAGGACUCCUGGUCGAAUCAUUGAUUUGAUCAACAGUAACAGCCUUAAAUUGGGAGAAGUGGAAUUUUUGGUACUUGAUGAAGUUGAUCAGAUGCUUGCCGUUGGUUUUGAGGAAGAUGUGGAGGUGAUCUUGGAAAAGCUUCCCUCACAGCGACAGAGCCUGCUUUUCUUUGCCACAAUGCCUGGUUGGGUGAAGAAACUGGCGAGAAAGCACUUGAACAAUCCUUUGACAAUUGACUUGGUAAAGUUCUUCUCUCAAUAACAAUCUCUCUGUCUCCGUCUGCCCAAACUUCUUGCAUGAUCCGAUAUUGGGUAUAGGCCUGAAUUUUUGCAUAGUACAGUCGCAGAAAUGGAGGAGUGUGGCUCAUCAAAAUGUCGCGUGAUGGCUUAUGUGGUUUGCCUGUUCUUUAUUUUCUUGAUGUAGGUUGGAGAACAAGAUGAAAACUCGCAGAGGGAAUUAAAAUUUUUGCCACAUCAGCAACUCCAACUUCAAAGUGUACCAUUCUAAGUGAUCUCAUCACGGUAGGAGAUGCUUCCCUCAUAUUUGAUAUCUUUUUCCCCAAUCAAGAUGCUUAUUUGAUUCGCUAACAUUUGCAUAUGGAUGUCUCCCAUUAGGCAUAUGUCCUGAAUUUCUCUAUCAUGCUGUUUCUUAAGAUUCUUCCUGCUUAGUGGAAGAAGGCUUUGAUUUUGUUCUUGCCUACAUGCUUUAUGGUAGGCUUUAAUAGAUUGUGCUUUUACUAGAUAAAUGACCUUUUUGUAUAUCUAUCUUACGUUUAUGUGAAAGGUGGGAAGACCAUUGUUUUCACACAGACUAAAAGAGAUGCAGAUGAGGUGUCAAUGGCAUUUAUGAGUAUCAUUGCCUCUGAAGCAUUGCAUGGGGAUAUCUCUCAGCAUCAGAGGGAGAGAACUCUUAAUGGUUUCCGGCAGGGGAAGUUCACUGUUCUUGUUGCUACUGAUGUUGCAUCUCAUGGGCUGGAUAUCCCUAAUGUUGAUCUCGUAGGUUAUUUAGUUUUUUAUGUUUGUUUACCUGCACGAUUAGUUAGUCCUCUCACAAAGCUACGUGUAUAAGAUUAACAAGAGUAUGCAACUCCUAAUGCCAGGUCAUCCACUAUGAACUGCCAAAUGAUUCAGAGACUUUUGUCCAUCGGUCUGUUCGUACUGGACGCGCCGGGAAAGAAGGAAUGGCUAUCUUGAUGUAUACAAGUAGUCAAAGGCGAACUGUCAGAUCCAUUGAGUGAGGUGUAGGAUGUACAUUUGAGUUUAUUAGCCCUCCAGCAAUGCAUGAAGUUUUGGAGUCAUCCGCUGAGCAAGUUGUUGCGACCCUCAAAGUGGUUCAUCCUAAGUCUGUAGGGUUUUUCACUCCAACAGCACAAAAACUAAUUGAAGAGCAAGGUGUAAAUGCUCUAGCUGAUGCUUUGGCUCAUUUGAGUGGUUUUUCGCAACCUCCUACAUCUCGGUCUCUUACAAAUCAUGAGCAGGUAAAUUAGAGACAUCUGUGGCAAUUUUGUUAGUCAUCUGUGCUUCUAUAACCCUACUUUCUAAUAGAUUCAUUUCAAGAUUUAGGAAAAGAAGUGGUUGCUUAUUGGAGCAUGGACCAUUUAUGUUGGGAAAAUAAUUUCUGUUUCCUCUUAACAUUGAUCUUUAUUCAUUGCUGCAACUUUCAGCAUAUCCAUGGGUCAGAGAAGGAGGAAAUGCAUCAGAUAUCCCUAUUGAUAUAUCAGUUUUAAACAAUAUGAGACAAUUUGUGAAGUACGGUCGACUGAAACAAUUUGCUUUACGGGUAACAAAACUGCUCUGUAAGAUUUGUUCAAAGAGGAAAGGAUAUUAUAUCAUGUCAAUGUCUAACAAAUAUUGCUUGCAGGCACUAGCAAGCACACUCGAUGAAGAGGAACUUGCUGACCUCAAGGAUCAAUUUGCUGCAAUUGAUGUAGAUAAAAAUGGUUCUAUUAGUCUUGAAGAAAUGAAAGAGGUAUCCAUUUCUUUCUCAUUCCCCAUUCACUCUGAUGAAUAUUUUAAUUACAUCAUGAUCAUGAGUGUUGUAUGCAUGCAGGCCCUUGCUCAGGAUCUUCCCUGCAAGAUGAAGGACCACGUGUCUUAGAGAUUCUUCAAGCGGUAACUUUUAUCUUUACCUUUGUUAUGGCCUUGUUUUCUCCUUGUGUAUUAGCAAUUGAGAUUUGUUUUUCUGGUGGGUUUUGUGGAAUACCAUUUUCUGUCAGUUUCACUUUCUUCUUUUAUUGUUUUGGUGAUUCUCUUUUGUUCAUAUUCGAUGCUUGAAGUUUCCAUUUAGUUCUUGCUUCAUGUUUCAUCAUUUUGAAAACUUGCUUGUGUUGUUAGCCAAGAAAUGUUGGACUAAUUUGAGCUGCUGCCAAGCUUAUAGAUAUUGCACAAACAUGUGAGUCCUGAAUGGUGCAUAAGAAUCUCUUUUAUUUUUCCUUCAUGUAGAUCGAUAGCAACACGGAUGAGCUAAGUGGAUUUUACUGAGUUUGUUGCAGCUACUCUUCAUGUGCAUCGAAUGGAGGAACAUGACUCAGAGAAGUGGCAGCUGCGGUCACAGGCCACUUUUUGAAAUAUUUGACAUUGAUCGUGAUGGUUAUAUAACCCCAGAAGAACUUCGACUGGUAAUUUUGACUAUCUUCAUUUAUUCAUCCCUUCCACGUUCAUUUGCCCUCUAGUUCUCAUUUGUGUCACUAUGGGUAUGGGUAGAGUGAAAAUUAAAUUACGUAGACAGGGCUAAAUGUGUUUGUUUUAAUUUGUAACUGAAUUUUGACCCCGUCUCUUGGGAGCUUGAAGUUUGUUUCUUGCAAAAUUGCCCAAAAGUUGGGAUAAGUUGUCUGUCUUUUUGCAUAUUGGGCACAAAACAGUAGCAUAGCUACUUUCUGUUGCAGCUUCACAUAAAGAAACCGUUCAGCUUGUGACCUUGAUAAUUUGGUUAUUGUCUCAUCUGAAAAUACUAGCCGAAUGUAUUGCCUCUUGUUGUAUAUUCUGCUCAAAGUAGUGGCGCAGGUUUUUUAUGUUGCCUUGUACAAAGAAAUGGUUAAGCAUGUUAACGUGUAACCUUGAUAUGAUGCUCCCAUGCCCUUUUUAGCAAACAGGUUUGAAAGGCUCCCUCGGUCCUCUGCUAGAGGAAGCCAACGUCGACAAAGAUGGGAAAAUAAGUUUAUCGGAGUUCAGAAGGCUGUUAAGAACUGCAAGCAUGGGCUCUCAAAACUUGCCGAGCCCAUCUGGUUAUUGGAAUUUGAGGAAGAUAUAGAUCCAUUCUGGAGCUUUUGGGUGUUAAAAAGAGAGGAGGGAGCACGAGACGUCAAGUACGUAUUUUGGUUACUCAAGAUAUACCGACCCAACCAUGAUGACCGCCUCUGUACUCCGCUCCAUUGCCAGUGGAAAUCCCUGUACAAAAGUUAGUAUCAAGGGAUUUUGCAUGGCACCCCAAGUUAGCCGAGAAGUGCUUGAGGAUGAAGGUUUGGAGAGAUUGCUGGCUUUGGUCGUUUACUUGGUGAGAGGGAAGGGCUGUACGGGCGUACGUCUUCUAAUGAGUUGAUAUGUGUAGGCUGCGAGUGUAUAUUUAACGCCCUCGAAUUUGGGGGCCUGUUCUAUUAUAGAAUGGGCAAUGCUUUUUUACUUGUAAGGCCUUCUCUUUUCUCAAUUUUUUUGGCAUCGCAAAUGAAUUAAGUGUAAACAUUUUUCAGUCUCUCUCAGAGAUGGGCAAUGCACCUGCUUUUCCUGUGAAUUAUUUAGAGAUGUAUGCUGAGCAGCCAUUAACGAAAAUAAAUUGAUCAUAUUAUUUAGGGUGACGCUUCUUGGUUUCAAGAGCCAUUCAUCAUCGCGUUGAAUCAUGGCCAAUACAAAAGCGAAUGUAGGAGGCGAUGCGCAGAACAUAAAGAAUUCGCCUUUUUCUGCUCCGGUCAAUGAUGUUGGGAGUACCCAAAAGCAUAUGCUAGCUCACAUCUCCAUCUGUACACCGAUUCGUUACCUCUUGACGACAGCAUCUCUAGAGACUUUUUUAUCUAAUAACCACCAGGGCAUCACAAAUACACGAUGCGAAUGACUCAUGCAGGAGUACAACCUGGCUUAUGCCUCAUGGCAGGUCAAAAGUUGCAAGAUAGUUUGGAUGCAAAACAGAAGCUCCAAUCAAUUAUGUCAUGGUUGCUGGAGCUAAAUCCUUAAAAAAGUAAUGAAUGUGCCCUUCAUUGUUCAAGUUUCAGGCAUAUGCUCUGAAAUCUGUAUAAACUAAAAAAAUUCCCUGUAAGUUAAGCAAACGCAACAUAAUAUACAACUGACCAGCCUCGGGGUACAAACUACGAAAGGACUAGAAAAUGAGUUAGGCUUGUAACAGGAAAAGAAAAUUGUGGCAUUAAGAUUUUCUGGACUCAACUCUUCAUCUACUGGACUUUGGGUUGUCACUAACACUAUUGGAGGAACUAUCUGGAAAAGCCUGAGAUGACGAAAGCUUGCUUGAUGAGCUCCCAUCAGUAAAAUACUUAUCUCCUUCCUCUGGGUCUGCUUGCCCUUCUUUUCUCCGGACGUCAAGUCCUGCAUAAUAUAUACUGUUAUGCAUAUUGUGCCAAUUUACAGAGUAGAUCUAGCUCUGGUUCAGAAUAUAAAAAAAAAACCU